UGGAAUUGAACCUAAGAAGUUUGAAAGUAAUUUUGAUGGUGGAAUGGAUGAAGGGAAGCCUGAAGAUCUUCUUUUAUGAAGUCAAUUUAUUUAUGAGAGGCAAUUUCAUGGCUGACUAAUUUCUCCCUGAAUAUCUUAAGCAACAUUGGCCAGCAUUGAAACCUAUGAGUGGAUCUUGCCUGUAUACUUGACUUAGAAAAACCGUUGGCAGAUUGAUUUUGAAGUGGUUCUGAAUUGUCAAGGAUAGGAUGAGUUCUAGAAAGAGAUGGAUUGGGCGGAUGAAGAAUUCUAUCAUUGCUUUUAGCUUUUCACUACUCAAAACAAAAGGAUUGUUUUGAUUGGUCUUUUGCAGGUGAUAUACACCAAUAUUGGAUAAAAUGCCACGGAGUAGACUAAUAGGUCACAUAAUCACAUGAGAAUUUGAAAAGCACAUGACUCACCUACAGUUAGGUAUCCUAAAAUUGAUCAUAGAAUAACUCAAUGACUUGUCUAAAAUGUAAUCAAAUAGUGCUUAGCCCAUGCACUCAGAACCUUGCUCUGUCUGGAUGAAGUCAAGGGUUCAAGUCCUGUCAGCUGCUCCAUGAUUUCCAGGUCAUUGCAAUUGUGCUGCUGCUAGAGGCACUUGUGGUGCAACCUGUAUGGCAUGGAGGCUUGCAGAGCUUGUUGGUCCUCAUGUGGGUUAUUAUAGUAACCUGGUAUUAUAGUGCCUUGUGCGUAGGGUAUGCCAAAAGGCCAUUUUGUAAAUAUUGUUGAUUUUAUAAAUUUUGAAGCUUUGCAUGAUUUAGUAGUUUCUUGAUUGUAUAGCCUGCAGUGCCUGCACUUUGAAUCUUUGUUAAUAUCUUCUUCUUCUUCUUCUUCUUCUUCUUCUUUUCUUUCUUCUUUUUUUUUUUUUUUGUAUAUUUUGCUUGGCCUUUCCUCUAGGUUUAACUUCAGCAUGCUAUGUGUAAUGUUUUCAGUUUGAUUGGGAGGGAGAUUUACCUUUACACGAUCCUCAAAAGGACCUUACAAUCUAGGAAACGCCUGCAAGAGGCUUCCCAAAGCAUGAUUCGAGUAAGACAGAUUUCCCAGGGACUUAUCUUGGUGCAGCAAAUAAAUUUGAAGCACUACUAUGAUAGUAGUUAUAUUGUUGAGUAUUCGUAUGCUCGUGAGCAACCAACAUAUCUUUCUUCUUAUCAUGCAUCGAUUAAUAUUAGCACAUAUCUGGAAUAUUACCUCCAUAACGUCCAUGCAAGAGUUUAGAAGGUUUGAGAGGGAGAUAUUUCUCAAUUUCAACAACUUGCUCAAGUAUUUUGACAUACAUGCACAUUUUUAAGUUAAUGGUGAUGUUUCAGGCACCUCAAGCAACACUACUGCAGUGCUUGUAAACAAAUAUAAUAAUGGCACGGGAGGGCUCCGGUUGGUUGUAUCACCACUUGAGCCUGGAAGCAUCUCUUUGUAGAAAUUGAAACCUGUUGAUGAAAUCUGUCUAAGAUGUAUUAUUAGUGCUACCCCCCAUACUCCUGAAACCCUGAUUGCUCAUGGUGGUUGUCAGAGGCUUUACAAUUCCCAUGUUAUUAUGUUUAUGUUAGUUUGAAAAAGAAAAAAAGAUAUUGAAUGCCCUUGUUAUACUUUUUUUUCUUUGGUAGAAGCCUUUGUCAUACUCAAAGCAGGAUAACUUUUUAUCUUAAAAAAAAAUUGUGGUAUGUGCUACGUAACCAUGCUGUUCAAGUUUGAUCAUCCAUAGGUUGUUCCCUAAAACUUGCAAUCUAAGAAUUUGGUGCUGGCAGCUAUUCAAUGCAAUCGUUCCAGUAUGUAGAUUCUGACAACUGCUAAAUGUAAGGUUCAAUUUGUGUUUGUUGGAUGGUCACCAAUAUGAGAUUGUCUGUUUUUUUUAAUUUUGGUUCUCAGUUGAGCAUUUAAAAAACUACAGGAGCUUGGGAUCAAUUGUAUCAGUUGUCAAGAGUUCAAUAAGCUGGAGUACUUCAGCCACAACUCCAUUCUUGGUGAGAAUAAGUCUGUGGACUUGAUCUAACAGUUAAUUAAUAUUUUUGAUCAAUUAUUUAGCAGAUUAUCAUUGCGUAGUGGUCCAUGCUAGUCCCUUCUAGAAGUUAAAACUCCCACUGGAAAAUAGUUGAUCAGCAGUCCUUAUGUUAUUACUUUCUGUAAGUUAAAUUUGUGUUUAAGUUAGCCACCAUGGCCAAACUUCCAUAUAUAUGGGUGGUGUGAUGAGGGUUCAUCAUCAUUUUCGAUCAAGUUUAAUUCCUGGUCAAAGUUACUCUUAAAAUCUUUUCUUGCAUUUUAAUUUUCUCAAGUCUUCCCAACCUCCUUUUAACCCAUCUGCACAAAUUAAAGAAUCCUGCUUUGCAGGGUUCAUUUUGUGGAUUUUAAAGCCAACGCAGGGCAUCUGGCCUUUCAUCUAAUUUAAUAUGACUACAUUUUGUGUCAUCUUAUAUAAAUGCUUUAUAGUCGGUGCCCAUUUUUCAGGUUUUUCAUUUUCUAUCACAUAAAAACUUUAAUAACUUCCUCCGUAGUAAUUUUGUCCGUCUUUUAUGGAGAAUUUCUCAUCAUUUUCCUGGAGCUUUUUACCUCCCUUGUCAGGUUGAAUUUCUGGGGAUACUCAACAACAAACUAUUUUUCACCAAUGAUGAGGUAUUAAUCAGCCUGUAUGACUGCAGCUGUGAUGCAAUUAAAGAAUUCAAGACUUGUCAGAGAAGCUCACAAACGAGGCAUUGAGGUAACUUGUGUGUUUGGUGCAUACAUCAAUUUAUAGUAGAUUGUUUAAGGUAGACACUCUGGAUUUUGUUUGUUCAUAUAAUAUCGUAAUGUUUUAGUUUAAAUUUGCUCAGAAGUUACUAAGCCAAACAAGAUAGUUGCAUGAUGUUGCAGUCAUUUGUGCACUUCUGCUAAUGUAACAAAACUAGAUAGGUGGGGAGCGCAGCAUCUCAAUAAUCUAGAAAAUUAGCGGACGCUACUAAUCAUUUAACGGAGCAAAUAUUUCUGCAGAUAAGAUUAAACAUUGGAAGACCUCCAGGGGCUUAGAAAGCAUGUUAGCGGCCAUCAGUUAUUUUUCAAUAUGAUAUGCAGUCUGGAAAUAGAAAUCCAUGGAACACUGAAAAACAAAUAUAACUAACAAGGUCUACGAUUUUGUUUAAAAAUGAUCUAACCGAGAUAUAUUCCAAACCUUCAACUUCAUCAUAAAGAACAGUAAACUAAAUUGACAGUGUAAUUCUGUAAACUAGUAUUUUUAAUUCUUAUCUUUUUCUAUAUCAUUUCUAAACAGACUUCCAUACGAUCUUGGCCAGCAUUCACGGCAAAUUACUCGGUCGAAACAAUUAAUACAUCGAACGACUAGCCUAUGUAAAAUAUUCCCUAAUAAGCCAGGACUCCUUUCUUUUCUUUUCUUUUCUUUUCUUUUCUUUUUUUAAAAAAAAUAGGAAAUAUACUCUAAAAUUCCCGAAGAAACUUCAGAUCUUAUUCAUUCAAGUACACGAGUUGCAUCCGCCCAAGAUGAUAAAGCGCUCCAGUUUGUAAUCUAACAAUUAUAUGGAAAGCCACCUCCAUGCCCAUUUGCUAAUCGUCUCUCUCUUGUUCCUGGAUAUUUGUAAACUGCUGAUAUCGAGAAAAAGAAGAAUUCUGUUUCAUGUUCAUUACAUAUAACCGGGUCGGUCGCUUUGCAAGAAAGAAAGACAAGACGAAAAGGAUGGAUGGAGAAGAAAGAGAGAAAAGAAACUACAAGGAGGAAGAGGGAGGGGAGCUCCUGGUGGCGGUCUUGACUGCGUUCCACAUGGCGCCGAGGCCGGAGAGGAUGGGGGGGAUGGUGGCGCCGGAGGCGAGGCCGAUGGCGAAGGACUGGAGGAAGCUGGGCUUGGAGUCGAGCUUCAUCUCGAUGAUGGCGAGGCGGGUGUUGAUGGUGUCGAGCUUGCGGACGGAGUCGGUAUCCUUCUUGCCACCACGGCCGGACACCACGGACUUGUAGAGGAGGGACUGGAGCUCGCCGAUGGCCUGGAGGGAGGCCUCGCGGGUGCCCAGCCCCUGGGCCUCGUAGUGGGACAGCACCCCCUCCGGGCCCGGCAGCUGCCGCUUCUUCUUGUUCUUGUUAUUGGUGGUGGUGGUGGAGUCGUUGGGAGGAGGAGAGGCGGCGUUGGGGGUUGAGGGCUGUUCCAUUCUGGACGGCGAUUCGGUGGUCGAGCUUAGAGAGGGAGGCGGUUAGGGUUUUAUCGGGUGGUGCUGGUGAGCACGUGGGAUCCACCGACCACCGGAUGUUUUUGUUUGCUCGGAUUCGUUGGAAUUGCCAUCUUCGAAUCCGCUUCCUCACCCGGCGCUGCGCUUGCGGGUGGAACGAUGGUCCGGACUGCGGGUCCGCUAACGGAUUACUCUCCGCAUCCGCUCCAAAGUUGGGGCCUGACUGAACUUGGUCGAACGGGUUUGGGUGAUUUCCUACCCAUGGGAUCAUUACCCGCAACAUAUACGGUCGUAUAAUUAAAAGAUUACCCUUGUGAGAAUAUAAAAGGUUGAGGCAGAGAUACCCUAUCUCACCUCUAACUGUCAAUUGAAAUCUCUCUCACAAUUGGGUUGGUGGAAUUCUCAAUCUCACGAAAAAAAGGUGAACUUGAGUUAUCUGAGAAUCAAGUCAUGCGUCAACAGGAAAGAGUUUUGUGUUUCGGAUUUCAGAUACAAUCACAGGCUGCCAACUAGUGUAAUUAGUAAAGUUAAGAGAGGGUUUUAAUUAGUUCGGUUGGUAAAAUCAGUCAGGGUAUCGGGUACUAAUGAUCCAGACUUCCACCUUGCCUUCAUCACGGUAAAUUAUCUUAUUGAAUGUGGAUAAAAAGGCAAAUUGAUCAAUAUGGAUGUUGAUAUAGUUUUGAAAGUGGCUUGCAGCUACGUUAUCUUUCAGGGUAACGAUUGUGUUCAAAUGAAUAUGAGAAUGAUAAGGCAUUAUUUAUUGGCACAAACAUUUCAUUACUGAUCCUUACGAUUAUUUUGCAUGAAUCUCAUAUACAAUAUUAACUGUGAGAGUAAAGGAGAUAGGAUUAUAGGAGACUAAGGAUGGACAUGUUUAUGUUCUUAGAGCUAACAUAUCAAAAAUAUUAUUUCCUACAAGUGCCUGUUGUAAUCUAAUUAAACUAACAAAUAAAUAUUAAUAUUAAAUCAAACUAAAAUUUACAGAUUAGAGACGUGUAAUGUACGGUCUUAAGAUAAUUCUCGAUCCGUGUGCAUAAUCAAACUUGAGAAAUUCAAUUUUAGAUUUAACCGAAGACCUCCCGUGCAAGCAUGACCGUAGAGAAGAUCAUAGAAUUUUCAAUUUAACAGAUGAAAGAUCAAACGGUCAAGAAAAAUUUGGAAGAAAAAAUACCAAUGAAGAACAAGAAGAAAUGAGAUCAGAAGAGAGGGGAGGAGCAAGUAUUUUUCUUUGUAGAAAUCCCUCCAUCACAGGCAGGCCCACGGACUAACCGUUUGGACUAGUCCAAUAUUAAAAAAUCCUAACCAUGUAACAAGCCAUGCUUAACGAAUGAAAAAAAAAAUAGAUUAACCCAUCAUAAUGGAUAGAAAAAUAACAGGUAAAACAUAAUGUUGGAAAAUCCAACAGAAAAUCGUUAUAAUAUGAUAAAAUGAAAAAAAAUAAAUAUAGGAGAGAUAAAAUGUAGGCUCCAUCCCGCCACUGAUGCAGACGCGGGAUGAUCAUGUGCAUGCGAGCCGAGCCGAACCAAGCUACGUACGCACGUUCAUAAGCUCAAGAGAAGGGUCUUUAAAAUAUAUUUUUUUAUUUUUUUUUCAAUAUGAGACUAAAUUUCAUGAAAGCUAGAGAUUUGAUUGGAAAUAGUUGAAGAAAAUUUUGAGUUUUUAAUUUUUCUUCAAAACCAACAAUCCUCCUUAAAAUUCAAAGUUUUUAAAAUAAUUAAUAAUUUUCUGUUGGAUAUAAAUAUUAUGUAAUAAGUGAAAUGUCUUUUAUGACUUAACUUCCUUUAGUGUUAAUAGUAUCAAUUUGAAGGAAGCGGAGUGAAUCAAAUCUUAAACUACAUUUCUUUAACUCAAAUUUCUAUUAUUACACAUACAAUACAAAAGCUCAUAUUGCGGGUUUGCCCAUUAAUGGCCGUGUUCAGGUAUCUUGAUUAUUUUAUGAGUUUCUAGAGAUUGUCUAUAUCUCUAACAAUGGUCAAGCAUGGAUACUCUCAUAUAGAUUAGCACCUACAGGAAUAUGUGUAGUGUCACAUCUCGAAGAAUAUCUCUUGGAUCUUAUUCAGAGAUAAACUCUUCUUAACCACUACAUAGGAGCACUAAUCAUUAUAGGGAUGGAUUGGAAUCUAUGAUUCCAAUAUCAAAUAAGUCACAUGUGCUCUCUGACCAAUCAAUCAACUUGUUAUUAUCACAUUGAACCUCCUUCAAGGGAUCUUCUAUCACAGAGAUUGGGUUUCCACUGCUAGAAGGUCCUUUAUAGGCUAAGCCCUAUCCCCCUCGAUGAUUCUAGGAUUUUAGUCCUAUUUAAGCCUUUUAUAAGGCAAUCUGCUAGAUUAAAGUUAGUUACAAUAUGAUUCAAAAAAAUUAUUUGCAGUUUCUCUCUUAUUUUUUACAAACUUUUAUCUUAAUUUGAUAUGUCUAUUUAUUUUAAUAUUUAUAUAUUUUUUUUUACAAAAAUCUAUUGCAGUUCUUAAAUCACAAUAAACUGAUAUUGGAGAAAUAUGAGAAGAUACUAAAAGAAUCUCAAAUGGAAGUUCUUUUGGUUAUUUAGCUUUAGAAUAGAGAGAAUCAAGGACAACAAGUUCAGCUUCCAUAGUACUUCUAGUUAAAAUAGUUUAUUUGGAAGAUCACCAAAAAGCAGCACUUCCUCCUAGAAAAAACACGCAGUCAGAAGUUGAUUUAAUAUCUAAUGUAUCAUAAAUCCAAUUUGAAUCACUAUAAUCUUCAAGUACAUCUGGAUAACUUACAAAAUGUAAAGAAUAAUUUGUAGUACCUUUAAAAUAUCAGAAUAUUCUCUCUAAAGCAGUCUAAUGAACCAGACUAGGAUUACUAGCACAUCUACUGAGUCUAGAAAUAGCAUAAGCAAUAUCAGGUCUAGUCUGAUUAGAUAGAUACAUUAAUGAAUCAAUAAUUUGAGUAUAUUUUUUUUGGUUCACAUAUGUUUUUGUGUUCUUCAAGAGAUGGGUAGAUAGAUGGAUCACAAGGAGUAGAUACGGAAGUGUAUCAAAAUAUUUAAAUUUAUUAAUAACUAUUUGAGAAUAGUGAGAUUGGGAUAGACAGAUCGAAUCAGAAGUAUGAAUGAUCUUCAUAUCAAAAAUUAUAUCAAUUUUACCUAAAUCUUUCAUAUUAAAAUAAUAUGAUAGAAAGUUCUUGAUGUUAUUGAUUAAGUCAAUAUCAGGUGUAAGAAUCAAAAUAUCAUCGACGUAGAGGUAAAGAAGAAUGAAUCGAUCAUCAAAUUAUUUAUAAUAAAGAUAAUUAUCUGAUUUAUUGAUUUAAAAUCUAUAGAAAAAUAUUAUUUGAUCAAAUUUUUCAUGUCAUUGCUUAGGAGCUUGCUUCAACCCAUAGAAGAAUUAAACAAGUUUACAAACUUAAUGCUCCUGGUCUAGCACAGAAAAAUCCUCAGACUGCUGCAUGUAAAUCUCUUCUUUAAGAUCUCCAUGCAGAAAGACAGUUUUAACAUCUAUUUGAUGAACAAUAAAUUUAUGGAUGAAAACUAAGAUAAGUAAGACUCGGAUAGUAGUAAUGUGAGCUACAGAUGAAUAGAUAUUAAAGAAGUCAAUACCAAUGUUUUGUCCAAAGUCUUGAGCAACAAGUCUUGUCUUGUAUUUUUUAAUUAUACCAUCAAUCUUCAUUUUUUUUUGAAGAUCCACUUGCACCCUAAAUGUUUGUUUUCAAAAGGUAAAUCAGUGAGAAUCCAAGUGUUGUUUCCAAUAACAGGUUCGAUUUUACUGUUUAUUGCCUCCUUUCAUAAUAGAUCAUGAGUUCAUGGCUUCUUGAAAAGAAGUAGGAGUAUCUUCUAUAAAAAAGAUAAAGAAGCCAUCAUCAAAGAAUUUUUCAACCCUAGUUCUCUUGCUUCUUCUCAGCUCAGGUUCGGAAGUUAAUUUUACUAGAGUAAGAAUAGAUGAUGAUGGUGGUAGUAAAUUUAAAGAGAAUAGUUGAUCCAUGAUUGAUCUAGAAAUUUGAAUUUAAAAAAAAAAAGAUAUUUUCAAAAAAAAUUGCAUCUCUAGAUUCAAUGAUGAUAUUAUUUGAGAUUGUAGGUAUUUCAGAAUUGACAACAAGGAACCUAUAAAUAUUACUAUCUAAAGAGUAGCCAAUAAAAAUAGCAUCAAUAAUUUUAGGUCCUAUCUUAACUCUUUUUGAUUUAGGAAUCUCAACUUUAGCUAAGCAUCUCUAAACUUAGAAGUAACUAAGCCUAGAAAGAUAUCCUUUCCAAAAUACAUAGGGUGUCUUUUCUCUAUCCUUAGGUGGAACUCUAUUUAUGAUAUAUAUAGUAGGUUAAUAAAAGAGCUUCUCCCACAAGUUUUAAGGUACAUUAGAACUUAUAAUUAUAGCAUUGAUCAUAUCCAGUAGGGUUCAAUUCUUUCGCUCCAUCUUGCUAUUCGAUUGAAGAAAAAUGAGAAUAGUGACUUCAUAAAUUAUUCUAUUUUCUUCGCAGAAUAGGAUCAGUUCAUUUGAAGUAUAUUCAUCUUCUCGAUCAGACUUUAAGAUUUUAACUCUUUUUUUCAGUUGGAUUUUAGUUUUUACUUUAUAAACCUUAAACUUGUUUAAGACUUCAUCUUUGAUUUUUAAAAGAUAAGUAUAGCAAAACUCAAAGAAGUUAUCAAUAAAAGUUACAAAAUAACGACUACCUCUAUGAGUUGGUUCUCUAUUAGAAUCACAGAUAUCACUAUAAAUAAGUUCAAGAAUUUGAGUAUCUUUAAAAAUUACAGGUUUGAAAGGCUUUCUAGAUUGUUUGGCCUAAACACAAACUUCACAUUUUAAAUUUUGAUCAAUAUUGAAUUUUAGAAUCAGAUUAAGACAAGAUAUUCUAUUGAUUGAUCUAAGAUUGACAUGAUCUAAUCUUUCAUGCCAUGUUCUACAAUAUUUAGAAUUUAGCACAAAAGAUGAAGAAAAACUAACUGAACUUUCAUUAAUUUUAAAAGAAGAGAAUAUAUUUAACUUGAACAAUUCUUCGGAUACAAAGCCAUUUCUAACAUAUACAUCUUCCUUAGAAAUUACCACUUUAUUGAACUCUAAAAUAAUCUUAAAACCUAAUUGAACAAGUAGAGAAUUAUUUAAUAAUUUUUUUUAUGGUGGGUACAUGAUGUAUAUUUCGAAGAGUUAAAAUUUUUUUUGAAGUAAACUUUAGAUUAACUGUUCUACUUCUAAAAACUUUGACAACUGUCCAAUCACCCACAAUGCCUCCACUUGAUCUCUGAUAUGAUGAAAAACAAGAUCUAUCAGAAUAGACAUGGAUGUUGGCUCCGGUAUCUAACUACCACUCUGAAUCUAAGUAGGUUAAAUUGACAGAUGGAGUAAAAGAGACGGACCUAAAAAAAGAUAGUUCUUCUUUUAUCAUGUUGAUAUGAGAUUUAGUUUGAUUUUGAUUCUUUAUAUUCUUCAUUUUAUAGAUAAUCUUCUACUUUUUUCAGUAGAAAUAUUGCGAUGCAAGAUUGUUGUCCCGAUCACUGACAAAGCAGAAUCUCUCACCACCUUAUUCCUUAGGCUUUUGGAAUUGAUUGUUAGACUUGGGCUUUUGAUUUUGAAACCUAGCUUUAUCCUUUCCUUUAAAAUUCUUUCCUUUAGCUUUGACCUCUAUAAAUUUGACCUAUAGGAUUGGACUUGGAUUUUGAUAUUCAGUUAGAUUAACCUUAGUUUUAAAUUAAUUUUUUUGAAUUUUUUUAAUUUUAAAUUGAUCUUCUAUCCUAAUAGAUUGAAGAACAGACCUAAGGUCGAGGGAAAACUGAUCUUCUAAGAUCACAGAUAAAUUGAGAUUAAGAGGAUGGAAGCUUGUCUAUUAAGCAUGAUAUCUGAUAGUUUUUAUCUAGAUUAAAUCCCCCUCUACGAAUCUCUUGGACUAGAUUUUGGAAUUAAUGAAUUUGAUCAUUGAUAAGUAUAUUGUCCACCAUUUUAAACCUAUGAAAAUCAGAAAUGAUGAACCUUAUAGCCCCCUCAUUAUUUUGGACAUAGGUUUCUUCUAAAGCUUGCCAAAGAUCUUUAGAGGUCUUAUAUUUCUUAUAAGUUUCAUAUAGUUCAUUAAAUAGGCAACUUAGAAUUAUAAACCUACAGUGAUAAUCUAUUUCUUCAAAAUAUUUAGAAUACAUGUAAAAGGAGGAUGAUUUAAAUGAUAGUGAUUUUUUUAAAAUAGAUAACAGAUUUAAAGAUAUCAAUCAGACUUCUAAUUAUUUUUACCACCUAAAAAAAUCUUUUUCAUUGAACCUAUCAGAUUUGAGACUAGAUGAAUCUUCAGAAUUCAUAAGAAAAAUCUCAAAAAAAAAAUAAAGAAUAAGACUAUAAGAGAAAAAAGCUGCAAAAAAAAAUAUCAAAAUAUUUUAGUGAUUUCAUAUCACUGUAAAUUUUAUUAUUUUCUAUUGACAGUAAGAAAUAAAUUUUAAAGCAGAAUAGAACUAAUAAACAAAAAUUUAAAUCUUUUUUAUUGAAAAAUUAAAUUUCAAUAGGCUAUUAGCAAAAAAAUAAAUACUAGAUAUACACUAUUACUAACUCAAAUUUAUUAUACCAAGAUGAGAAAUUUAAGAUGAAAUAAAUAUUACACUAUCACUAACAGAACUAAUUAUACCUGAUAAAAUAAUUAUUAUAUCAAAAAAUUUGAUAGAUUGUUAACAAUUAAAUUAUAAUCGAAAUGGAUUUUGCCUUAGAAUGUUAAAAUUAUUGUUUCUCACAAAAACUGAUUGCAAUCUAAUUAAACUAACAAAUAAAUAUUAAUAUUAAAUCAAUCUAAUAUAAAUAUAAAAUUAAUAUUAAAUCAAGAUCAAACUCAAAAAAUUCAUCCCAAGAUACAAUUGGAGACCUCCCCGCAAUCGCAUGUAUACGAGCUGAGCUAGGUCGGGCCACAGGCGCUUGUUCAUAGGCCCAAGAGAAGGAUCUUCAAAAUAAAUUUUUUUCUUAAUUUUUUUUUCAAUAUGGGACUAAACUUUAUGAAAGUUAGAGAUUUGGUUGAAAAUAGUUGGAGGAGAUUUUGAGUUUUCAAUUUCCCUCUAAAACUAAUAUAAGAAAGAAAAGAAAGGAAGGGAACGAUGAUGGAGAGAACAAUGGACGCCUAUCAUAGAAGAAGACGCACCAAGGAAGUCAUGGACCAUGAGGACAAGCAAGAAAAUGGGGAAGGAUAAUAGUAGCGGAAGGGAAGGAUGUUCAUCUAUUCAUACUAUCAGGUCUAACAAUGUGUAUGCACAGCAUCUUGCUUUUAGAUUUAAAGUUAAAUUGGCUCGGAUUGAAAAAUUUUCUUCUUGACUCUGAAUUCUAGAGUCCAAUUUCGAGGGAACAAAAUCCCUUCAUCUAUAAAAAGGCCUAAAAUACUAAGUAUGUAUGACAAAAAAGUACAGAUACACUCCCUACUUGACUUUUCAAGUCUUUUUCCUUCUUGUCCUGUUCUCUAGAUUUAUGUCUAACUUAAAUAUCGGAGGAUCUCCUAAAUCUAUCUUUUUUUUUUCUUUCUUUUUUGAUAAGAACCUCCUUUGUUGUUCUCUUUGUAUACAGAUUAAUGCUUCAUUUCCCAUCAUAGUAGCACUCUUUAAAUCUUCAGAUCAUCAAAUUGGUUUUGAUAAUAAUAUAUACCAUCUGUUAUGGCAGUAUCCCGAAUGCCUCGGAUCUGACGUAUACCUCUGAUCGGUGGGCUAUUUACGAAGUCACCGACCCAAGUGCAGAACUGAGGUAUAUAGAGCAGAGCUAUUUACCUCUGAUCUGCUGCACGGGCAAAUUACCUCGGCCAGCCUUUUAUAGCCAUAGUCGAUCGGCUCUUGAGCACAUGCUACAGCUGUCCAUCCCGAGUGGAUGGACUCAAGCAUAACCGACUCUCCUGAUUUUACGGGAGUGAUUGAGGGCUGAAAUAUCUCACCCACUAUGGCAUAUUGAACGGUCCUGCAAUCUUGAGAUUGCACGAUCUCACAGCUGUCCGACGAUAUUCUUUAUAAAUCACCAAAGCUCCGAAGACCAAGGUAAGUUGGGCAAUCCCUUUCAAAGAACUCGUUGCUGUUCUUUUUAUUCUCUAAAUCUGACUUGAGCGUCGGAGGAUCCUCGCAUGAGCGAAAAUCUUCUGUCCAGACUUCUUUUGCAGGUCACCCUAGCAUUCCUUAUGCGAAGAUCAGACGUCCAUCUUCCAACCCAGCGGUAACAAGCAGCAACAGAAAGCUCCUGAUCCGCGAGCCUUCUCAGUCAGAAGGCUCCUGAUCCACCCUCCACUAGGCCUUCUCAGUCAGAAGCUCUUGGUCUGCAAACCGGCCAUGAAGAAGAACCAUCAUUUUUCUUUUAUCUUUAACUUUCUUUUUCAGGCACUCCAUUUUUGAAAGAGUCGCCUGAAGCUCGGCCUGAGGUGUGGAUGGCUCUGGAGACACUUGAGUCUCUUUGGAGGUGGAGCCUCCACCUCUCUGCGGUGUUUUCUCUCUGUGGCCAGCCCUAUCCGAGAUCUUGGCCUUUUUUGCCAAACUUCUGUUGAAGCUCCCUUGAGAACGAGCCUCGGAGGAGGUGUAGUCGUGUCCUCUCUUCCCUUCGAACGUUCUCCUCAGGCACUCUACAUCGUCAUGAGCUCGACGCCUGUUCUUCUCGACCCUAGACCUCUAUCUCUCGAGAUCUGCAAUCCUCCUUUAGGCCCUUCUAAUCUCAUCAUCGUGACAGUUGAUUCUUUCUCGGGCUUCUUGAAGGGCUUCCUCAGAAGAAUUGAGCCCUCUGGUCAGCUCGAAGUUGAUUCUUUCUGCCUGCCCCAACUAGUACUUCAGCAAGUCAAUCUCUUCCCUCGUUGCUGUAAGCUCUAGGGCAGAUGCAUCAGAAGUAGAGCCGACGAAGUUGGCCAGAUGAUGUCCAACCUGCACAAAAUUGGCAUCAAAGCUAUUAGACGUCACAAGUUGCAGGAGAUAGGAAUGAGAGAUUCAUGAAAUCCCUUAUCUGGGUAAGGAACUUGAGGGCGCUCGCCAUCCGUUGCUGAGUCCCUUGUUCUUCAAAGAACAAUUUCUCGAUGGGAGAAAGAAAAUUUUUCAGAAACUCUACUGCAGAUUUGAGAUUCUCCGCUAUGGAUAGAGCAGUGAGAACAGGCUGUGAGAGACCUGUUUGAGAAGCAUCCAAAAAAAGAAGAUACGCAGUGAACAUUGCUUGCUCCGAAGGAUUCUCAGCUUCUAUUACGGCCACUAGAGCCUCUCUCGAAUGGUCGAUAGUCUUCUUCACCCAUGUAUCCUCUGCUGAGCCUCCUUUAUCGAGAUCUCCACUGCUGGAGUCUCCUCUGUCAAGAUCUCCCUCAUCAGAAUCUCUUUCGAUAAGACUUCCAUCGUGACCUUCGGAGGGGGGACCACAGACUCAACGACUAAAGGGGGAUUCACAUCCUUCACAACCACAGAAGUCGAUUUGAUGGCCGAAGCCCCGACAUCGCCACUUGUCGAAGCCAGAGGACCAGUCGAUGGAGCCUUGGUUUGUCUUUUUCGGAUCAAUCUCAGUUCCAACUUUUUUACAAACUUUGGAUUCGUCAUUUUGUCACUAGGAACCUGCUGGGAGUCUCGACAAAAAUCCGGAGCAGAAAAAAGCUCGCGAUUAUCUUUUGACACAUCUGUGAGCCAGAUUUAAAAGGAGAGCCGCUAUUUAAGGAAUUAAACCCUUGAGAAAACUGCCAGCCAAGCGAUCCUAUCCAUCAUGGUCGUUCGCGACACCUCUUCGUCAGGCUGACAUUAUCAAACUCCAAUGCCGGGGGCACAUAGAAACAGGAGCACAUAUAUCCCCACAUCUGAAGAACCGCUUGAGAUACUCUUUUCGUCUGAUUCUCAGACUCAGGAGUAGGGGGUAGUGUUAUGAUUGUAUCCUAAAUACCUCGAAUCUGGCAUGUUAUCGUUGAUACCUCUGAUCGGCAGGCUAUCCACGCAGUCGUCGAUCCAAACGUAGGACUGAGGUACAUAAAGCAGAACUAUUUACCUCUAAUCUAUUGCACGGAUUAUUUACCUCGACCAGCCUUCCAUAGUUUCAGCCAAUCAGCUUCCGGGCACGUACUUCAGCUAUCUACUUCGAGUAGAUGGGCUCAAGUGUAACCGGCUUUUCUGAUUUUGCAGGAGCGAGUGAAGGUUAAAAUAUCUCGCCCACUAUGGCAUAUAGAACGGCCCUGCAACUCGAGAUUGUACGAUCUCAUAACUGUCCAAUCAGCUAUCCGAUGACAUUCUUUAUAAAUCAUCAAAACUCCGAAGACCAAAAUAAAUUGAGUAAUCCCUCUCAAAAAAUUCAUUGCUACUCUUUUUAUUCUCUGAAUUUGAUUUGAGCAUCAGAAAAUUCUCAUAAGAGCAAAAAUCUCCUAUCCAAAUUUUUUUUACAUAUCACUCCAACAUUCCCUGUACAAAGAUUAGGCGCCCAUCUUUCGAUCCCGCGGUAACGAGCAGCAACACCAUCAAAAAUAAACAAAACAAUAUAAAACCUGGAAAGAAAUGUAAAUGCACCUGGCCGCCUACCUCGUUGCUCCUCCACGCCAUGCUACCGCUGCUGGCCUUGGAACCUACUGAUCCAGGGGAACACCGCAACCAACGGCCGAGAUUCAUUGUUCUGGUCGGAUUCCAAGCCGCAGCUCUCUUCCAAUCCAUCUCCACCUGCGGAUGGCGGGUAGUUUGGGCGUUCCUGAUGGGCCCCACCAUCACCACCAUCGUUCCCAUCGUCAACUUUGUGCCAAACCUCCGACUCGAGUAAAUGGACCGGCUUCAUUUUGGGGACAAAUCUUGAUCCCUAACAAACGGUUAGAAUCCAAUCUGAAACCACCCAGACCGCUCGAUCCAACGACUCCGAUCCAUUGACCCAACCCACAGAGGACAGAAAAAGAAACCCUCCUUGGCACCCUCCCAUCACCGAAGCACACGCCUACCCCAUCCGCUUCCCCGCUCCACUUUCCGCCGCCACGAUGCGGCGGCAGAAACAGCUCCUCUCCUUCUUCGUCUUCUUCGUGUUCUCCCUUCUCUCCGACGCCACUGCCGCGUCCUCAGUCGACGCCUGCGAUCCCCGAUCCCUACCGGACCGGCUGACCCUUCGGCCGGACCAGCUCACCGUCCUCAUCAGUGGCUACUCGGAGCGCCGCCUCCUGCUCCUGCACUCCCUCGCCGCCGGCUACGCCUCCCUCCCCUCCGUCGCCGCGGUCCUUAUCCUCUGGGGCAACCCUUCAACACCUUCCCACGUGCUCUCUCCCCUCUCCUCCUCCUCCUCCAAAGUCACCGUCGUCCGCGACCCGUCCCCGUCCCUCAACGCCCGGUUCCUUCCGCGCGCCGCCAUCCGCACGCGGGCCGUGGCCGUCUGCGACGACGACGUGGAGGUGGACCCCCGGUCGCUGGCCUGGGCCUUCGCGGUGUGGAGGUCCCACGAGCACAGCCUGGUGGGCUUCUUCGCGCGGUCCCACGACCUGGACCUGGCCCGCCGGACCUGGAUCUACACCAUCCACCCAGACCGCCACUCCAUCGUGCUCACCAAGUUCAUGAUCCUCAAAACUGACUACCUCCACCGCUACAGCUGCUGGACCCGCUUAGCCGAGGCGCGGGGAUUGGUGGACCGCCAGCGCAACUGCGAGGACAUCCUCAUGAACUUCGUGGUCGCCAUGGCCAUGGCCGCGGAGGGCAGGGAGGGGCCCGUCACCGUGCUGGUGGAGGGUAGGAGGGUCAGGGACUGGGGCGACCCCCGGAACAGCGGAAACAGUAACAGCAGCAGCAGCACCGACGGCGGUGAUGGCGAUGGAGUGAAAGAACAAGAGAGGGAAACAGAGAUCACACGGGUGGGAUUGAGCUCCAGAGGAGACCACCGGAAGAGGCGUGGAGAUUGCAUCAGGGAAUUCCACCGGAUGCUGCGUGUGAUGCCCCUCCGGUACAGCUACGGGAAGGUAGUGGAAGGGCUCGGGGAGCAGGGUCUCUGCCUUAAGGGUGGAAAGCUGGUCUUCUGUGAUCGAGACUAGGCCCUGAUUUCUUUCUAUUCUCACCCAUCCGUUUUCUUUUUUUGUUGAAGCGCCCAUCCGUUUUGUGUACCUUCAUAAUGGACAAAGGAGAUGAGGAUGGACUAGUUUAAUUAAAAAUUAUACCCUACUACUUUGGAUUGAAGGGUGCGAGCCUCUGGUUCAAUGCGCCUCAGAAUUCUCUGCGAUAUCAUUUUCUGUGGUAUGCACAUACUCAAAUUUAUUUGUCUAACAAAAAUCGAUUUAUAUUUUUUUGAAAAUGAGAAGCCAAAAUUUUACUACCAUUCCAUUUUAAAUUGUGCUCAUAGAGCGAGAAGAUAGGCCAAGAUCAUUGUAACUGCCAUCACAACAUCAUGCAUUAGUGAGACCUGUGUUCAAAAUCAACAUCAGUCAUCAGCCAGAAGAAAAGAGCCUAUUCCAUUACUUGUUUUCCGGUUUUGUUUGGAAAAUAUACUUCCAAUCAGUCCAGCAUAAAAACAGGUAAUGACAUAAGAAGUACUGGCGCCCAUAUUAACAGCAACUAGAUUAAAUACAAGUACACAAACGACAAUAAAUUCGAAACCUGCUUCGACCACACCUAGCUGCUGGAAUUCUGUGUUUCUGCUCCAGUUGCAGCGCAUAACGCAUCCUCCGAGUCCACCUCCACCUGUGUGCCAAGGAGAUCCAAACGAAUCAGCAUCCCUAUCAAAAGACACAGAGACCCAAACCUUAUGGAUCAACAAACUUUUACCUGCUUUAGGUGGCUCAUCAAAGCUCCACGCAACAAUCUUUUUAGUUUGUCACAUUGCUCAACCAUGUGGCCUGCACUUUGCAACUCCUCGAGCUGGGACCACAACCGUUCAAUUGCUGUGUAAGGAAACCAAAUCGCCGACAUCUUUUUUCGAUUGACUACAUCAGCUGGUCUCUGAAAAUCAUUGUAUAAAUGAUGAUUAUCAACUGAGGAAGAGCAUUCAACCAAGGACCAAAUAGUGGGAUAAAUUUGGUACGCUAACUUACCAAAGAUGCAAAGGAUUCUAGGUACUCGAGCAACAAGUUUGUAGCUUCAGCAUGUCGGCCAUAGUCCACAUAGAGUCUGAAUAAGGUUGCUGCAUCUGAUUCCUGGCCUGUCAUCCCCCAGGACGUUGCCCUCCGUCCACCCUGGUACAUCUCAAAGUCAGUUAUCUUGUAUCACUGGAUCAAGCUACAUGUUUACACGGUAAUGCAGACAACAAAACGUCCAUUUGGAAUGAUGCACUGUACAUGAAUUCAGACUAUAUCAGUGAGAGUCAUAGAUAAACAUCAGAUAUACACAUCGAAAGGAUGACUGGGCAUUUGAAAAUGGAUGUUUUUCUUUUUUUGGUAAAUUUUGAAAUGGACGUUUAUGAGCCACAAAAAGGUAGAACGUAAAGAAGCAAUUCACAUAAGGAAACAAAAUAGGAUGAUGGUAGAAUAGGGUAAGGGAGCAACUGCAUUAUGUUUAGAAGCAAUUCCCAUGAACUCACAACUGGCCAUAAACUAGAAGCAAAUUCAAGACUACAAGUAACAGAGUCACCUUGAACAUAUGAACCAACCAAAGAGGCAGCUCAAUCUGAGGAUCAGUAUAUAGAAGUGUUUCAGCAACAAUCACCGGCAAUCUUGGAUGCAACUUUCUGUAUUUCUCCUGCGAUAGCAGAGAGCACCAGUAAGACGUAAAGGAAUUUCUUUUAACCGUACACACACAUAAAAAUUAUAUGGAAUAAUUACAUACUCUGGACGUAACUACAAAUAGCCCAAAGUACAAGCUAUACACAUUGAAAGUAGAGAGGUGAUCAAAUUUUAAUACUGUAGUCAGUUCAACUCCAGAUGACAAUAAAUCUGUAAAAUCAAAACAUAAGAUAGUAUCCACUAAAUUGUUCCGACACUACUAGCCCACAACAAGCAUUAAAAAAGGUAAAAAGAAAAGAUAAAAGCUUACUACUAGCCUCAACAGUAUGUAUGGAUUACAAUUCUAAGCAAGAAUCAAAUGCUCAAUGUUGUAAAGGCAGAAUUUUCUCAACCCUCCAAAAUUGUAACUCAAAAAGAAAAUAAGAUGGUCAAUAUGGUUUUAUUUAUGACUUUGUACCAGACAGACACCUCCAUGAAUGCCAAAGCCUUGCACUUGACAUUAGCAAAAAAGAAAAUCAAUAUUACACUUUGAUUUUAAACUUACCCAUGGAGAUCCCAACAGUCAUAUGAUUAAGUGUAAAACAUCUUCUAAUUAUACACAUACACUAUGAAAGAAUAAAUGCAUUCCUCUAUUAUUGGAGGAGACAAAUGCAAACAUAUAACUUGAAAUCUGGAGUAAAAUCGAGAGGUUUUUUUAUUUCAGACAAGAACUCAAGAAGCAACAGGAUGAGAGGACCAAUACAAAGUUCUUGUGCUCCCAAUGCUUGCACUCAAUACUGUCGAGUUAAAACACUAACAUUACAGAGCACAAAAAGUCAGUUUAGGAGUCACUAUUUGAUGACCAAACGCUGAAUGCUGAUGCUUAUGCAACCAAAACCGAUUAAUAAAAAUCCUCCAGAGAGGGAAAAAAAAUUAUGGAAAUGUCGGAUCAUGUAAUUCUCUGAGAAUUACCUUAGCUACAAAAUGAAAUAAGAAAACCCUUAAGCACCACCAAACUUUUACCAAAAUAAUGAACAUGAAAACACUGUAUCAUGCAAGGUAAAAUAACAAAAUCCUUCAGCAUCACCAAACUUUUACCAAAAUAAUGAACAUGAAAACACUGCAUUAUGCAAGGUUCUGGGACACAAAUAUAAAACUACUUGUGGAACCAAAGUUUUUCUUCAAACAUUUGGCUAAUGCUAGUAUGUUGAAAUCUUUUUUCGAUAUGUCCUUCAUGCUGCCAAGGGAAUCCAAAAUGUGUUGUAGCUUUCACUGAUAUAAUCAACAUACUCGUAAGCCAAAUUCAUGUGAAAAACUAAAUAGUGAAGUUUGGGUAUCUUCUUAUCAUAACAGAUACAUUUGAUGUCAACACAGGAUCUAAACUUUUAGUAGUUCCUUAACUUUUAGUACUUUUUGUUGAAAGAAUAUAUAUAAUUGAUGAAGUUGUAAAUAUUAGUUCUAUCCUCUGCAACAAGAAAACGGCUGCAUAAUACAGUUUUAGGCUUCUUGUAGAACUGAUGCCAUUUCCUGGUGCCCUCAAGAGGAACUUCAUGUGACACUACAGAUGCUCAAUGAUAGAGUUUACAAUGUAAGAAGAGUUGGGAAACACUCCUUCGGGAAGGUUAUUUUGAACUUGAGAAGAAAUGAGGUAGAGUAACAGUUAGUACCUCCACCCAUGGAUCUCAUUUUCAUGAAACAGACCAAAGGCCAUAACAUAUGCAUUGCAAUGUCUAAGGCAUUUUAUAAACUUCUGGCAGAAGAAAGCAUUUAAUUUUCUCAUACAUACAAGGUAGAUUUCAAGUGUUUCCCACUGGCCGCUUCCCUUGAAUUGAUGAAUUACAGGACUAGCAUUUAGUUUUCCAUCAGCAUACGUGUCAUCCUCAGAAGAUGGCAGCAGAAGAUUGCUGGCUUUCACAUUGCUCCUGAAAACAACAAACAUAAUCCCUUCAGCUAACAUGCCAUGUUCCCACCAGCUACUAGCUGCAUAGAAACCAGCAAAGUAAUCUGUGGCAUGUAGAACACAAAAAGUCACGAGGUUUAAGAAAAGGUACAGAUUUAAGCUCACCCUAUAACAGAGGACCCUGCUCUAUUUGGACAGCAUUUCUGUGAGAUAGCAACAAAGGCCCGUUCUAAUUCCCUGUAACAAAUUUGGCUGUCUCAUGAAUCCAAUAUAAUUAGAUAUAAAAUGAUAUUCUGAAAUUAGUAUUACUAUUAAGGUUUUUCUUGCCGUACCGAACCGGAUAGUACAGGACAUACUAUACUAGUUUGGUACUGAUAUGCGGUACGGGGGCGUACUGACACUCAGUAUGCUGAACUGGCCCCGUACUAACGUAGUAAUAGAUUGGCACUGGUAUGGGGUCUGGCACCGAGCCGGCAAACCUUAAUUACUGUACCUUUUUAGUCCCGAACCCUUCCAAAACUUGACUAUUAUCGUAAAAGCCAUGUCGUAUAUAUUUUCCUGGAUCAGAACAUCCACCAAAUUUCCUAGUGCUUGGGUUCCUGUUGAGAAGAAAACAGUGCUGUAUAACAGGAUUUCCACCCACAAGCAUGAGACAAUUGCUAUAACAAGCUUGCAGCAGAAUUGAACCAUGACUGUUACAAUUGAUAAUCAAUUUCAACUAGUAGCAUCAAUUACCAGAAAACUUGAACUUAUCAUUCACAAGAGCAAGCAGAUAUUGCGCUGAUGCCAGCAUAUGCUCCUUUUCCAGCAUUUCAAUAUCAACACAGUAUUGCAGCCCCCAAGACUGAGGAGCACCAUCAACAGAAGCAGCUAAAUGAAAUAGAAAUUCAAUUAUUUUUUCUUGUUGAAGGAUGUGGGAUAACAUAAUUCAAAUUUCUUAAUAGCUUAAAAAACUCAACACUUACAAUUUGCUGUCACGACAUUUCUAGGCUUUUUACUUGGUGAACCUUGAUCAUGAGUAAAGUUAUCACCAUACUGAGAGUCAAUCCAAGCAUAAGCGUGAUCAACAAGUUGCAGAGCAUUGAUCGCAGCAGCCAAUGUUUGUAGCCUCUCUUGUAAUGCUGACGAAACCAGGUGUUUUCCAUCCAAGGUUGCUUCUUUCUUCAAUCUCACAGAGUAUCGGUACAUGUAACUAGCUGCCUUUCUCCAGUUGUUUCGAUGCACUUCAAAAGCAUAAAGCAGUUUGUAUAGAUUUGGCCUUGCAGAAAUAUCAGAGCGUUCAGCCUAUAAAGUCAACGUAUGAUUCAUGGUAAAUUAUAUCUACAGAAUGCUUUAUAGAUCUACGGAAAAAUAGUGAACUUUGGUGAAAUUGAAACCCAAUGUGACCGGGCUUCACCUUCCAAACAAGCUCCUGCUCUACUUUUUCUGUUAAUCCAACAAAUGGCAGCUUACCAUCACAAAGAACCUGUGUGAAAUCAGAAAGUAUCAAGGAAGGGCCCAAAAAAUUUUGACCCCCUUAGAAAGGCAUUUACCAGUGUUAAAGGAACUAUGUAUUAAUAUGGCUAAACUUUCAAAAAGACUCAUACAUGUGAAAAUCCAUAUGUUUCAUCAUACAAGAUUAUUUCACACAAAUGCCAUAUAUUUUGUUAUAUCAAUCACAUUGACUAGAAUUUAAUAAAUUGGGAGAGAGUUUGUGAAAUGCACAUUGGCAAAUGAAAAGAUUUUUAUCGAGGCUGAAAGGAAAGAGAUUGAAGUGUGAAUUGUGAAAGACAAAAAUUUGAUAGUACCCAGCAUCAAGAAGGGAAUAUUAGAGUUUAAACCAGGUAUAGAAAAACAUGCAUUGCGGUAACUGCCAUGGGAAAAAAGUGUACUGCAAACAACCAUAUUUUUCACAAGCAUUGCAACUUUAGUUGGGCUUAGCCCGAUCACAACUUGUUGGGUUUGGGAUAGGCCAAUACUUUGCAAACUUGGGGUCGGUUACUAUUGAGCUUGAACCCAACACAAACCCAACUGUGUAGUUAGUUAAAUACAUGUAUUUGUUUUUGUGUUUAUAUAGCAUACUUGUGUGUUUCAUUUAACAAUAUCUUUAGCUCUAUUGAGUUACAGAAUUACGUAAAUAUAUGGCUAAUUGCGAUCAUAACCUCAAACACUAGUAACCAAAUAGGAAUGUCAGAACAUUUUCAGUCUUAGAAUUCCUCCAUGAACCUAACCCAACCCGAUCCUACAUGGUGCUAACCCAACCCAAUCCAAAUUUUGCUUAAGAUGAACUAGGGUUGGGACCGUUGGCUUGGGUUGGAAAAAUCCAAACUAAGGUCGCAUUGGAUUCACUUAGGAGAUUGAGACUCGUUUGGUUGGGGUUAGCCCUAAACCCAACCCAACCCACCCAAGCAGCAGUCAUACUUUCCACAUGGCUCUUAGAAAGUUUUGAAGCAAUCCCAAUUUAGAGGUCAAAGCAUUUGAUUCCAGACUACAAACGCACCCUUCCUCUCAAGCAAAACAAAAGGAAAGCGGACAAAAUAGAAGAUGUAUUGUAUUAAAUGAAGUUUACCAAAUAAAAUCAAAAAAUGAAUAAUAUCAAAGAAAAUUUGGGAAAAAGGAACAUCAUAGGCUUGUCAAAACAAUCUGCAGAAGUUGACCGAUAACUAUGACGAUGAUAAUGAAGCUUUGCCCCUACAAUUUGGAGCAAACUAGCAAGAUUUAUGAAUCUUCAUUAGCCUAACAUUCCUAAGCACAGCUAACUUUGAUGUUAUCAAACAUCAACUAUUGACCCAUACAUUUUUUUAGAUGAAAAACAUGAUAUAUGUGAUCCAUGGUUCACCGAACCACCCCAAAUCAGACGGUUCAGGACAUGCUGAUCAUACCGAUGGCCCACUAGUGCAGUUCGGGCAUUUGAUUCAGAACACCAGCAAAAACGGAGGAUGGAAGAGAGAAGGGAACAAAGAAAGAGAGAGGUGGGAGAGAAGGAGAGAGAAAGGCUAGCGGUGGCCGCCAGAGGACCGCCAAGGCCUCCGAAGCUCCACCCUCCUCCGAAGAGAUGAGAGUAGAGAGAGAGAGAAAGGAGGAAAAAAAUAGAAAGAGAGGGAGGAAGCGGGAGGCCAGCAGUGACCAUCGGAGGGCUGCUAAGGCCCUCGAACAGUCGAAUUGCCCCCCCCCCCAAACCAGCCUCCGCUAGGUUGAAACAAGGGUGACCCACUGUGCAUUACAAAAACAAAAAGUAAACAUGAUGAAACAGAGGCAAGUCACCCCUAUUUCAACCUAGCACAGAUCAGAAUCCAGCUAUUUGAGGACCUUGAAGGCCACCGCCGACCUCACUGCCUCCUCCUAUUUCUCUUCUUCCCUCUCAAUCUCUCAAUCACUCUCUUUAUUCUCGUCUCUUCAAAAGAGGGCAUAGCUCUGGAGGCCUCGGCAUCCACCAUCAACGUCUCCGUCGGCCUUCCUUUCCUUCCCUCCCUCUCCUCUCUCUUUUCUUCUCCGAUUCUCCCUCUCCUUCACUUUCUUUGUUGUAUCGAUUUAAGCCUGGUACGGGGGUGUACCAUUGAUGGACCAGCACAAGUUCUGAUUUUGGUUCUGCAAACCUCAAUGAAAUCUAAUGAGUGUCAAGCUAUUAUGAUCCAAACUACUUAAACACACAAGAAUUUUUACAAUGAAUUGGAUGAAUUUGGCUACGAAAUCUUAAAAAUAAACAAAAAUCAUAGAUUAAGUAUAGCUUGUAAGAAAAAAAGAUAUUUUUACUAUUAUAUGCACUCAUGGUGCUUUUUUUGAGAGAAAGGAGGGGGGAUCCCCCAGCACUAGAAUUAUCUAAAGCCCUAGUACUUGGAGAUGCACCACCCAAGACUGGAACACAGAAUCCUUAGUUGCUAAGGAUAGACAAGCCCCAGUUCACCAUUCAUGAUGCUUCUUAGAUUCACAGAUUCUCUACAUAGAUAAACAUGCAACAUGUAUUAGGCCUCAUCAUGGUUGAUUUCUGGGGCUAGUAUACGAUUCUUUUUUCUCUUGUUUUCUUGUUUCACGGGGUAGGGGGAUCAAUAUUUUAUUAUCUAUCAACCAAUAGCAAUGACAACAAGAGUGAUAUGUAUAGCAAAAAGAAGAAUGAUAAGAGAACAGGAUAACCUUAGCUUCACCAAGUUCACAAAGAACAAUAACAAAACGCCUCAGGCAUAUGUAUUUGCUAUCCUCAUCUGGAUUUGAGAUUAUGGCACAAUAGGCAUUCCCAUAUUGCUUCAUAUCUAAGGUGAAUUUAAAGACAUUCGCCCAUAGCCGUCCCUGAAUUGUAGUUGCAGGUUCAGGAAGCAGGUCAUCAUCAUUGUUACCAUCACUCAAAUUAAGAACAACAUCCACUUGCUCAAGAGCAGCAAGAGCAAACUGACAAGCCCCUUCACUGACACUAUAUUGCUCGAAAAGCUGCAUUGCCCAUUGAUAAUAAUGAAGUCUCCAGAUGGCUAUAGAUCCAUAUUCUCCUGAUAAAAGAAAAUUAUAUCGUGGGAUCAAACUACUAAACAGAUGUUUUAAGCAUCAACAAUAUCUAAAAGGAAAAAAAUUACCAGAAUAUUGGAGGCCAGUUUCAAAAGAGAGAUUUUGCAAAGAUUGUGGUGCUCCCUGUCCAGAUGCAGCUCUGGGACAAGAUAUAAAUGGAAAACAAGAGACAAUGAAUAAUGUGAUGCAUCUCCCGAAGUUGUACAGAAAUAGGUAAAUAAACUGAAAAUAAGAACAUUUUGAUAAAUAACACCUAGCAGAAGGAUGAGCGAAGGGAUUUGACGUCCUAUGCUAAUCUUAUCACCUAUAUGAAGAGCUCAAAUUUAUGAUCAAUUACAUUCUACAUGGUAGAAAUUCAAAUUUGCUCGGUUAUCAUGCAUUAGUCACAUGACAACAUAACGGCAGGGUUAUUGUAUUGUACAAUUUAAAUAGGUGAGAUACAUUAUAAGAAAUAUUAUAGGCAAUGCAUUAAGAGUUCAACCAUAUAGAAGUUAACCAACCAAAAUAACCAACAUAAAGGUAAAUUUUUCUAAGAUUGUGACCAGUUUUUUUAACACAGAAUGUAGAAAGAUGAAUAUGGGAUAUGGACUAGGGAAGAAAGAUAGCACUAACUACAGACACAAGAUGAUUUCCAGAACAAGCAAAAUUUUCAAUAUAAGAUUAUUUCUAUGAUUUACAAUUUCUAGUAAGUUUAGAAAAUUCUUCAAUGCUAAACAGAGACAAAGAGAAAAAAACAAAAAAAAAAGAAAAGGUGAAUGGAAGUGGUUGUGUAGAAAUAGAAUAAAAUGAAUGCUAACCAAAAAAAAAAAAAAAUCUCAUAGCAUACAUGACGCAAGAUACCUGAAAAAACAGCGGAUAGAUUCCCUUAUUUUCUGCUCUUUAAGGGCUCCAUGAAGCCCACCUUGUGCCCGUACAAGAAGGCAAUAUCCCAGAAGAUGAAGACGUGCACACCAUUCACCAUCAGUACUUUGAGCAUUUUGGGAUGCCUUUCUACUCCUUAAGUGAGCAUCAAUAAUAAGAAAUAGAUUCUUGACAAAGGGAAGCAAAAGGAAAACAUCACAGAUUAGUAACCACAGAAACACUUUAUCACUAAAAUAAAAAAAAGUAAAAUCUAAUAACCAAAUAAACAUUUACCUCAGCAGCUUCAUAUUGACCAUGGCGAAGUAGAAGUGAUGCUAGCUCAAGCAUAGGUUUUGAGGAUAAAGGAAAUUCUUCACUAGUCUUGCCCCAUAUAACCAAACUGCUAAAAUUUUGAAUUAAGUGAAUUAACUUCCUCGGAUUAGGAAAAGAUUUUGAACAAAGAACAUCUUCGCCUUCAGAGGAGCAUGGGAAAUCCAGCAAACAAGCCAACGUAAAAUCAGAUGAACCAAGCUUUCCAUCCAGAGAUCUUUUAUCAGUUUUGUUAUCUACGACCAUGAAAAGUAAACAUGUCAUUGUAACUCAGAAAACAAAAGGUAAACCUUUUAAAGGAAAAAAAUUGACAGUCAACGUAUAUUAAAGGAAAAUGAAGCAUGAUCAAAGAGGAGAAUGAUAAAGUCCCGGAUCUUUUAACUAACCGGAACAAUUAGAAUUUAAAGCAUCACAACAUGCACUUGUACACUGUAUAGAAGCUAUUUCAUAUUCUGGGCUUUUAUGGGGAAACAAUGAGUGCGAGAGAGAGAGAGAGAGAGUGUUUGAUACACAUGCAUGCACGCGCGUGCACAGAGAGAGAGAGAUUAGAGGAGCUGGUUUUCAAGUAAAAUAACAGGACGGUCAGAAUGUUUACACUUAUGUAAAAAUGAGUGUUUUAUGAGUCUUGCAGGUCUCAGAGAAACUCAAAAGUAUAUUUUAGUGUCCAUUGCAAUUCAAGAUGGGACGGUUAUCAUAUACAUACAAGAAAGCAUGCAACCAGAUGGCUGAAACAAAAACUGCAUUUAGAAGUUUUGAAUUUUUCAAAAACAAGAUCUUACUCAUUUUCUUAAUUUGAAAUAUAUACAGAUUUAAAAUUGAGAUUUUAUAGUUGUUUUGUUGCUAAAAAAUAGUUCAAGAUGGAUAAUUAAAAACAAUAAGGUGAAAGAAGAUUUUUUUUUUUAGGGAAAAUGGAAAGAAAAUCAUGAACUUGGAAAAAUUCUAAUCAAAACAUAAAUUUCCAAUUACAUGAUUUAAGAUGUUUCAUUAAUUUUCACUUGCUAUAAACCUAGUUGUCUAGAAUUACAUUUUGAAAUUUAAUUUUUGAAAAUAUAAAAGAAUAACAAAGUACUUUGAUUCUCCAGUACACUCAAAUGCAACUGAUCUUCAUGACAAUUAUCGGUUCCAUACUGCAAUUCUAAGUUUCCCCAUUAUUAGACUUGACAAAUAUUGUUCAGCAAACAUAGAACAGAAGCGGCAAACAAACAGGCUGAAUAAUUAUCAAUAUGUUCUAAUCAACUUCACUAGAUCCAUGAGUAGUCAAUGACUAAUGCAUGAUCAUAAUGAUCAAGGAUAAAACCUGCACAAAAAUGUACAAAAAUUUUCAGUUGCCUCUUCUUCCUAUUGAAGUAGUUCUACAGAUCUCAAGAUUCCCAAAAUGGUGUAUUUUCCUUGUCUUUGUACCUUCAAAAUUCAUUGACAUAGACGUGGAUGUCUUUCCCUUACUUUCAGGUGGAUCAUCCAAGCAAAUAAGACCAACUUUCUAGAAGUAUCGCAAGGAUUAGUUGUAGAAAGCUCACUUCAUAUUAUAUUACUAUGAACUGUACAUUUGCAGUUGACCAGGCCGGUAAAAAAGAGAUGCAUCAUGGUGACAACUUGGAUUAGCUAACAGCUAAGCUUGAUUUGUUGGGGAAAAAAAUUACAACAUGUCAUGAAGUAUCAACUAAAUCAGAAUAUGAUUCUAAGAAUUAAGAAGGGGAAAAAAUAAAAGAAUAGGCUGAGAUUUUCAAGACAACCAAGACCAAUCAUUAUGGUCCUUACUCCUUAACAAGUAUAAAAAACAAGGAACCAGUAAAAUACUGCAUUGAAAAAACCUUUGUUUCUUCUUCAUCUCCAGUAAUUUUCAGGCAUUGCAAGAGUACAAAGAUCUGAUGAGAAUUAUGUUAAUAUUACAAAAUAGACAACAGGUGCAUAUUCAUGAAAACCUUGCACACGAUAACACCACCAGUACCAGUAAAAUCAAGGUGACAUCAAGCAUUAUAUCCACAUAAAAAAAAAACUAAAUUUAUUACAAUAUCCAAUCAUAAAUCAUCUACUAAAAUGAAAUUCUACAAUUGUUCCAUCCAGUUUUGAUUUUGAAAUUAGAGCAUUUCAAAUCUACAAAGAAGUGCAAAACCAAAUUUUUCCCUUGCUACAGGCCAAAGUCAUUAUCAUCUACAUUUUGUGCUAUUUGAGGUAACUUGUGAAGAAAUCCAUAUUCAAAAUAACAUAAGUGUGUGACAUUCUCAACUAACACCAAUGACACAUGAUGCAGGGAUAGAAGCAUAUACCUAUAUUUAAUGAAGAAAGACGAGAGCUGAAAUCCUCCACUGUUGGUGGAGUAGUUGGAGUAAUUGCCAUAAAAUGGAGGAUAAGCCAUUGCAUAAGUAUUUCUUGAAUAGUUGGGAUUAACUUAAGUCUUAUUCGAGCAACAUCAGUUUGCAUCAUAUACACCUGCAAGGCCAAAUAUGUGGACAGUAUGUGCUUAGUAAAUACUGACAAAAAAAAUUAGCUGUUAAAUUCCUUUUCAUGAUAUGAUGGAAUAAAAAUCAACCUCAGAUAAUUAGAAAUUAAAUGGUCAAACAAUAAGACUUAGAAAAUUAUGCCAGCCCUUAUAAAAUUCAAUAUAAAGUUGAAUGAGAUGGAGAGAUCAAAGCAAAGAAAUUAUGGAGUAAAUUGACAGUGGAUAGAUAAUAAAUCAAACACAUCAUAUUCAGAUUAAGGGAACCUCAAAAAAAAAAAGUUCCAUAAUAAAAUGGCACAGAAAGAAUCAAAAACAUUAUCCAAUAUAUAGAUCUCAUAAAGCAUGUCAGAAUGGUAUUAAACUCAGAAAUAAAACUCUAAAUAGCCUGCCAGCCCUUAAAAUUUAUUUGUUGAAAAAGAAAAGACUAGUGCUUAUAGCGAGCAUGCAUGUCCCUGCAGUUCUUAGCUGCUAGUCUAUAGUCAAACAUGCUUGUUAUCAUAUGCCAACAAGAUUGUAGAUUAUGUGAUGUAUCAAGCUACUUGAAUAAUUUCUGUUUCUUGCUUGUUUUAGAUACCUGUCCACUGACAUUGACCAGAUACCCAAGAAGCAGAAGAACAUCAAAAGCUGACUCAAACAUCACUCUUGCAACUUGUGAGGUAGUUAGAACUAAUACAGAAGAGCUGAUACUAUAAAUUCCUUUGGAAUCAAAAUUUUGGCUGCUUUUAUGUGGCGUCAGAUACUUCAAGUAUUUUUCUAUGACAUCUAAAACUCCAGACCAGUUAGCAGCUUUUGUAUGCAGACUAUGAAGAGACAACAACAUCUCAACUGCAAACUUUCUUUGACUUUUGUGAGCCAUCUGCUGCUUCUCCCAUGUAGCAUCAACUCCAAUUUGUGAUAUUAGAGAUGUUGCCAAUGAUGGAUUGUACCCAGUUUCCAGUAUCUUCAAUAACUGGCAAAUGAUAUCAUCAGAUGAAACAAUAGGACUGACAAGAGAUUCAUAAAAUAUAGCAGUAGCAGCUCUUCCUAAUUGGUGAUUGAUAUGACUCAUACAUCUAAGCGCUUCAAAAAGGAUUUCAGAAUCAAUGUUGCUAUCUGGCAGAAUCAUCGUAGAACAUUUUAGGUCUUGAAAUUCAUCAGAAGAACCUGAAAGGUGGUAGCAACAGAUGAGAGAUCAUUAAAGAAUUAAAUAAGCUAUAGCUAGAUUUAAAUUAAUGACCAAUCCAAAAAAUUAAACAGGUACAAACUUAAGUCUUGAAUCCAACCAUAAAUAAGCUGUUCGACGCCUUCCAAAGAACGGAAUAGAGAAAUUGAGCUCUUCCUGAUCAAACCAAUUACAUCAUUUGAAGAAUCGAGAAGCAACCCAUAUGGCAUACUGCUUUGACACCAGUGGCCAAAGAAAUGUGAACAAAAACUCUUCCAGUUAUAAAUGGCUGAACUAGAAUUCAUAGUAGCUCCCUGAUGCCAAAAAGGAAGGAGUUAUUCAUCAGGAACAAGAUUGCACACCAAAGCAGGAAAUAUUUAUAGAGUUUUACCUCGCCUUCAAUAAUUGUAAAAAUCGCUUUUUUCAAUCCAGCCACAGUAAGAGACUUAAAUUCAUGGUCAGAUAGGUACUUCUUAUGCUCCAAAAUUGUUGCACGUAGAGCAGAACUAUGAUACACUCCAGGUUGGAGUAAUCUCCGCAAAAAUAUUGAUGAGAUAAAAUAGGCAGUUCGAUCCUGCAGAGUGUAAGGCUCUCAAAGUUGCAAAAAUAAAUAUGCAUGAAAAGUAGCAACAUGGGUCCUCAAACAAAAUGAAACAUCACAGAUAACAGAAAAUAAAAGGUAAGAAUAGUCAUUUUAUCCAAUACUGUCAUUACCCUAAAUAUGUGAACAAGAACAUGAAAUGAGGUGUUGAUGAUAGAAAUAGAUUGUCUUGAUCAGUACACCAUGAUACAAUAGGAUCUGUAAAUUCAGGUUUUUUCGGAAGGACAUAUGAUAAAUUUUUAAACCUACACUCUGAACAAGAACAGUUAUGUUGGUGCUCAAAGCCCAAUUUCACCUUUUCCUCAUGCCAACUAUUUCACUCCUCCCUAUUCCCUCUCUUUGUCCACUUCGAUAAUGACACUUACUGUUUUUCAGCCCUCAAACUACACCCUGUUCUCACUCUGGUGACUACAAUGCCAACCUGAUUCAACCAUCAAAAAAACUCCCAGCCCUUUAAUCAUCCACCUAUUGACACAACCUCAGCUUUCUCUAUUCUCUUGAUACAUGUUCCCCUUAACUGCACCAACAGCCUUCAGCCACCUCUUAACUAUUGCAGAGUCACUGGUUGAGCAAGUCUAGCUAAACCUGAGCAAAAGUAGUCUCUAGAUCAUACAUGACUUGAGAGUGUAUAAGAAAUCAAGUGAAACGAAAGGACUUUAAGCACCACUCUCUUGGGCUUGACAUAGAACAUUAUCAAUGAGCUGAUAAAAAGACCAAUAAUCCAAUAUAUUCCAAAAUCAACAUCCCCUGAGCAUUUGUUUAUCAAUCAAAUAAAGUCAGAUUUAUGGUGUUUGGCUGACAUGGCCCUAGGAUUCUCAUACUUCUGUACUUAGCUUAAUGGAUUAAUAAAUUGACGUGCCCAGGCCUGAAUAACUAUCUUGUGUAGGUAAGGAUAAAGGUUGGAGCACAAAAAAUAAAAAAAAAAAAAGAAAUCUUUGAAACCUGAUUGAUAAGAAAAUCGCCACAAUCAGAUCACAAAGGGGUAGAACGCCACACUCAAGAAAAAAAGAAGAAUGUGAGUAAUAAGUUCUAAGGUUUAUAACUCGUCACUAACACACGGGUUAGAUAAGAGAAUUUAGCAACACUCAUUUUCAUUCAUUGAAGUCUAAAUUGAAUACAUAGAUCACCUCCCUUUAUAUAGAUAUGAGAGGGAACAUAAGGCAAAUUCAAUAAAUGGAAGAGAAUAACAGAAUUUUGCUACUAUAGAAAUGAUGGUGGCUGCAUCUUGCUACUAUGAAAAUGAUGGUGGCUGUAUUUUGCUACAAAGAAAAUGACGGUGGCUGCAUCUUGCUACUAUGAAAAUAAUGAUGGCUGCAUCUUGCUAUUAAGGCAGCAUCUUGCUACUAUAAAAAUGAUGGUGGCUGAAAAUCAUGGUGGCUACUAAAUGAUGAAGUAGAAAAAAAAUAAAACAGCCUUCUAAACUCGACUCUUUUUCAAGCAAUAAUUUCUUUCAAAUUCUUGCCAAGUCUGAUUCGCACCACAUCAUGCUUCUACGCACGUGAGCAAGGUCAUCAAUUUAACUCUUGGAUCCAUGUAUGGCAUCUGAUCAUCUCUUUCUUCAUGAUGGUGCNNNNNNNNNNNNNNNNNNNNGUAGCGGAUACAUUGUAGUCACCAGGCAAUUCAAUCUUGUAAGCAUUAUCAUUCACUUUCUCAACAACUCGGAAUGGACCAUCAGUACGCGGCAUGAGCUUAGAUUUUUUUUGGUUUGAAAAUCGUUCCUUGCGAAAAUGUAUCCAAACAAGAUCACCGGGGACAAAACGAACUUGUUUUCUUCAUUUGUUAGCUAUCUUCUCAUAAGCCGCAUUCUUCUUCUCAAUCUGCUCCUUGAUGCUCUUAUGCAUGGACUUAACCAACUCAGCUUUCUUCUUCCCAUCCAUACAAACCCUUUCACUGAUUGGAAGUGGUGCUAAAUCAAGUGGGGUGAUAGAAUUGAACCCAUAAACCACCUCAAAAGGAAAAUGCUUAGUAGCGCUAUGAACACUACGAUUGUAAGAAAACUCAACAUAAGCUAAACACUCAUCCCAAUUCUUCAGAUUCUUGUUAACAACAGUGCAAAACAAAGAAGAGAGGGUACAGUUUACCACUUCAGUCUGACCAUCGGUUUGCGAAUGACAAAUCGUACUGAAGAGCAAUCUAGUACCAAGCUUCUUCCACAAGGUCUUCCAAAAGUAACUCAAAAAUUUGACAUCUCGAUCAAACACAAUGCUCUUUGGUACACCAUGCAUCACACUAUCUCCUUGAAAAAUAAAUCUGCAACAUGUAAAGCAUCAUCGGUUCUGUGGUAUGGCACGAAAUGAGAUAUUUUUGAGAAUCAGUCCACAACCACCAUAACCGAAUCCUUCCCCCUUUAUGUUCUUGGCAGUCCAAGCACAAAGUCCAUACUCAAAUCUAUCCAUGGUUGAUCUGGUACAGAUAGCGGCAUAUACAACUCUUGUGAAGUCUUUUUGCUCUUCACCUUCUUGCAGGUGACGCACCUCUCAAUGACGUGAUGUACAUCACGAAUCAUGGCUGGCCAAUAGAAGUGCUCUUUCACUAUCUCCAAUGUUUUCUCUCCAAAAUGACCCGCCAAUCCGCCACCAUGAGCUUCUCUUACCACAAGCUCUCGAAUGAAACCGUUAGGAAUGCACAGCCGGCCUAACUUAAACAAGUAUCUGUCAUGCUUGUAGUAGCCAUUUACAGCUCCUUUCUUGCACUCAUAAAUGCUUGCAAAAUUUGGAUCGCCCUUGUAUUGACCUAUAAUCAGCUCAAAUCUCAUUAGUUUAGCAUUAAGCAAUGAAAUCAAAGCACACCUCCUGAAAAGUGCAUCAGCCAUGAUAUUGACAUUUUCUUUUUUGUAUUUGAUCAUAUAAGGAAAGAUUUCCAAAAACUCCACCCACUUGGCAUGUCUACAAUUUAGCUUGCUUUGUCCUUUCAAGUACUUCAAGGACUCAUGAUCAGUAUGGAUGACGAACUCCCUUGGCAAUAAAUAAUGUUGCCAAGUCUCCAAAGUCCGAAUCAGAGCGUAAAACUCCUUGUCAUAAAUAGAGUAGCUUAAGCUCGCACCAUUCAGCUUCUUACUGAAAUAUGCUAUGGGACGCCCUUCUUGCAUCAGAACAGCCCUAAUGCCCACAUCGGAGGCAUCACAUUCUACCUUAAAAGUCUUGAAAAAGUCGGAUAGAGCUAGAAUGGGUGCUAAACUCAACUUCUCCUUGAUCAACUCGAAGCUCCUUUGGGCUACUUCAGUCCACUUAAAUUCUCCUCCCUUCUUGAUGCAUUCAGUGAUAGGAGCAAGAAUAGUGCUGAAGUUCUUCACAAACCUCCGAUAAAAGGAUGUUAGGCCAUGAAAACUCCACACUUCAGAUACAUUAGUAGGAACAGACCACUCCUUGAUCGCUUUCACCUUUUCCUCAUCAACUUCCACUCCAUGUUAUGACACAACAUAACCAAGAAAGACUAUGCGAUCCUGACAAAAAUGAUACUUUUUGAGGUUGCCACAUAGCUUCUCUUGUCGUAGAACCUCAAAAACCCCCCUAAGGUGUUCCAUAUGCUCUUCCUGAUUCCUGCUAAAAACCAAAAUAUCAUCAAAAUACACAACAACAAAAUCAUCAAUAAACUUAUGCAACACAUGAUUCAUCAAUCUCAUGAAUGUGCUGGGCACGUUGGACAAGCCAAAUGGCAUGACCGUCCACUUGUACAAUCCGAACUUGAUCUUGAAUGCGAUCUUCCAUUCAUCACCUUUCUUCAUGCGAAUCUGAUGGUAUCCGCUCCUAAGGUCUAUUUUUGAGAAGACCUUAGCUCCAUGCAACUCAUCAAGCAUAUCAUUCAGUCGCGGGAUUGGAUAGCGNNNNNNNNNNNNNNNNNNNNAUAUUUUACUGUGAUCUUGUUUAUCGGCCUACUAUCCACACAUAUCCGCAUAGAUCCAUCCUUCUUCAAUACCAACAGAGCUGGUACUGAACAUGGGCUCAUAGACUCCCUCACACAACCCUUCUCCAAAAGAUCUGCAACUUGUCGUUGCAACUCUUUGGCCUCCUCGGGAUUGCAUCUAUAGGCUGGUCUAUUUGGCAAGGCAAACCCUGAAAUGAGAUCAAUCUAAUGCUCGAUCCUUCUGAUUGACGACAAUCUUUUUGGUAAAUCUUUUUGGUAAAUUUCUCCAAAAUCUUCUUCAUUUGCGACGGAAGGGAGACUUCUUCAUCUGACACCUGCUUGGUUACAAGAAUAAAAAUAAUUUCAUGGUUAGUCAAAACUCGCUUCACUUUCUCUUUGUUGGCAAACAGAUUCUCUUUCUUGCCCUUCUCAAUCACAAGCUGAUUCUUCUGGACCUGUUGCGGGCUAAGUGAUGCCAACAUUAUGUUCUUUCCGUUCUUAGCAAAUGAAUAGGUGUUUUUGAAGCCGUCAUGAAUAGCCGUCCGAUCGUACUGCCAAGGUCUUCCCAAAAGAAGAUGACUGACUUUCAUAGGAACCACAUCACAAACAAUCUCAUUCUUGUAGGACUUGCCAAUAGAGAAAGAUACUACAACCUGCUUUGUAACCUUCACAUCACCAUCGUCAGUAAGCCAUUGCAAUCUAUAGGGACGGAGAUGCUUAAUGGUCACCAGAUUAAGUUUUUCCAUCAAAAUAGUGAAAGCCACAUUAGUACAGCUACCCCCAUCAAUGAUAACACCACAUACCUUAUCAUGGAUGGUGCACCUGGUAUGGAAGAUGUUUUCGUGCUGCUCAUCAUCCACUUUGGCCUGUAAGUUCAGGUUACGGAAAAUAACCAACAUCUCUCCUUCAUCUGCAAACUCUACAUAAUCUUCUUCCACCUCUUCCAAAAUAGCCUCAUCUUCACUUUUAAUUUUCUCUUGUGACUCCCGAAUGAAUAUCACCCUCUUGUUUGGACAUUCAGAGGCUAUAUGACCGUGACCAAGAUACUUGAAACACUUGAUAUCUCGACUUCACCUGGGAGGUUGCGAAUUCUCCAUCUUCUCUUUUCCUUUGGCUGCAUCUGUGGUUUGCUUGCUGGAAUCACCCUUUUCUACUUGUUUUGAAACCACCUUAAAGACAGACCAUGGUGAUAAGAAAGACUAGUUGGUGGUCUUACUCGACUUAUUUGCACCACGCUUGCACUGUCUCUCCACCUUAACAAUAAAUUUGAUCACAUCGUCAAGAAACACAUAAGAUUGCAACUCCACCGUAUCAGCAAUCUCUUUGUUCAAGCCUCCUAAGAAUCUUACAAUGGUCUGUUCUUGAGGUUUUCGUAAAUCGCACCUCAUCAUCAGCAUCUCAAAUUCUUUGGCAUAAUCUUCAACACACAUGCCACCUUAUCUCAAGCUUUGUAACUUGAUGUACAGCUCCUACUUAUAAUAUUGAGGGACAAAUCGCUUCUCUAUGAUCCGCUUCAUAAGCCUCCAGCUCCGGAUCUCCUCUUCUCCAUCCCUCCAACACUGAGCUUUCACAUUCUCCCACCAAAGAUUAGCGUAAUCAGUGAAUUCAAGGGCAGCAAGUUUACAUUUUUUUACCUCAAAAUAGUCUUGACAUUCAAAAAUCUUCUCCACACAUUGUACCCAUUUCAGAUAUUCUUCGAGUGAGCUGGUUCCUUUAAAGGAUAGGAUCCUCAUUUUAAUAUUAUCUCCCGAACUUCUUUGCUACCGCCUUUGCCAUGGGUGUUCCUCCACACCAUCAUCAUCUUCGGAUUCGUCAUACUCCUCUUCAUCAUCGCGAUCAGCUCGUCGUGGUGUUGGAUGGCCAUGCCACUGUGGUGCUGGGGGAAGUGUUGCCAACCGCUCAAACGCUUGUGUUAGGCGAUUGAAUUGCUCCAUCAUCUCUUUUUGACGCCGCUGGAGUCCUAUAAUCUAAGCUUGUUCGAGACUCAUGCCUCUAAGAAUAACAUGGACCUCGUCUCUUCCAGACAUGAUUUGGAUGUCAAACACUCCCUCAGACUCUGAUACCAAACUGACGUGCCCAAGCCUGAAUAACUAUCUUGUGUAAAUAAAGAUAAAGGUUGGAGUGCAAGAAAUAAAAACAAAAAAAAGAAACCUUUGAAAUCUAAUUGAUAAGAAAAUCGCCACAAUCAGAUCACAAAGAGGUAGAACGCCACACUCAAGAAAAAAGGAGAAUGUAAGUGAUAAGUUCUAGGAAUUAUAACUCGCCACUAACACAUAGGGAUUAGAUAAGAGAAUUUAGCAACACUCAUUUUUAUUCAUUGAAGUCUGAAUUGAAUACAUAAAUCACCUCCCUUUAUAUAGAUAUGAGAGGGAACAUAAGGCAAAUUCAGUAAAUGAAAAGGAAUAACAGAAUUUUGCUACUAUGAAAAUGAUGGUGGCUGCAUCUUGCUAAUAUGAAAAUGAUGAUGGCUGCAUCUUGCUGCUAUGAAAAUGAUGGUGGCCGUAUUUUGCUACAAAGAAAAUGAUGGUGGCUGCAUCUUGCUAUUAUGAAAAUGAUGGUGGCUGUAUCUUGCUACUAUGAAAAUGAUGGUGGCUGAAAAUCAUGAUGACUACUAAAUGAUGAAGUAGAAAAAAAAUAAAACAACCUUCUAAACUCGAUUUCUUUUCAAGUAAUAAUUUCUUUCAAAUUCUUGCCAAGUCUAAUUCGCACCACAUCAUGCUUCUACGCAUGUGAGCAAGGUCAUCAAUUUGGCUCUUGGAUCCGCGUAUGGCAUCUGAUCAUCUCUUUCUUCAUGAUGGUGCACAUCAUAAAUAUUAAUUGUAAAUAAUAUGAAUUGAGUAUGAACAAACCAAAUUAAGCUGAGAAGAGCCCAGUGGGUAACCAAGAGAAUUAAACCCGACUAAAUUAGGAAAAUAAGGGCAACUCCAUAAAGAACAUAACAUGCAUGUGAACUCUGACAUUGAGCUAAAGAUAAAGAAUCAACAUUUUCACAAGGACUCAAAGAACUAGGAGAUAUUUUAGAGUAUUUAAUGAGAUAUACUGUAUCACUUUGUACAAUGAUACCCAUUCUUUUUGUAAUAAUAUCGGGAUCAUGUAUCAUGCAUUGCUAAGAAAGGAAAAACUACAAGCAAAAUUAAACCAGUUCCAAUUAAGUACACCAUGAAACCAUAAAGGAAGAAAUAACUGACAAUUGGAGUGAAAGAAGCUGAAAAGAAAUAACAAUUCCUAAUGAGAACAUAAGAAUAAAGUUCAAGCAGGCAAAGGAACCAAAUUAGAAGAUCAAAGUUAGAAGUUGUUCUGUAAUUCUUAAUAUUAACAUUCAUAUAUGAAAUUCUUUUCCUUCUUCCAACACCAUUACAGUGUUCUGCUUCCAAAAAUCAACUCAUAUAACCAUUACUGGAGCUUCUUACAUCCAUCAUGGAAUUUAAAUGCCAGAAAACUUAAAACCCGAAAAAGAAAAAAAUUGAUACCUUGAUUGAUGAAAAAAUAGAACUGUUGGUCCAUAUUAAGUCAUCUAAAGCAUGUUCAGAACUUUGAAAUAGUUGGUCAGCAACAGAGUCUUCUUGCAAAUUAUAAGUACCUGUGUGUUUCCUUGGAAAAAGGAAAAAAAAUCAGGACACAAAUAUAAACUGAGCGUUCUUUUCUACUACCACCACUAAAGUAAUGCACAGUUAGGCUACAAAUUCAUGCAACACGCUCAAAAAAGGACAAUUAAAAGUACAUUGAGAGUACCAUAACCAGCAAGGUAUAACUUGUUUAAUUGGCUCCAGCAAGCUUAGAUGGUAAUUGAUGAAACACGUAGAGCAAAAAAUAAAAUUAAAAAUGUAAUUUGAAAUAGAAGAAACUGCUAUGGUUUUACCUUACACCAGGCAUAAAAAGGAAUUUAGGAUGAAUACUGUUGUGAUUCUAAUAAUGUGGAGGGCACCAAUAGUCCUACAGCGGUUGUGAGUCAAGGGGGACUCAUGCUUAUAUAGAGGGAAUCAUCCUUCCCACGUAAGAUGUCUUUUAAAGGACAAAACUGUGAAGCCUAUGGGCCAAACCGGACAAUACCUUACAUGUCGGGCCAAGCCCUUGUCCACAACAAUGGCACGCCACGUAGGGGUCGAGAUCCGCCUCGGUUCCCUGGAGCUGAGGUCCGCUUGGUUCCCUAGGGCUGAGGUGACUGUGGGCUCCUUGAACUGUACACAAUCAGAAUCCCCCUUGACUGGGAGGCUCUAUUGUGGUUCUAAUAAUGUGGAGGGCACCAAGAGUCCCACAUCAGUUGUGAGUCAAGGGAGACUCAAGCUUAUAAGGAGAGGAUCAUCCUUCCCACGUGAAGAGCCUUUUAAAGGAUAAAACCGUGAGGCUCAUGGGCCAAAGCGGACAAUACCUCACGUGUUGGGCCGAGCCUUUGUCCACAACAAAUACCUUCUUCUAUAUAACCUUCUUUUUCAUGCAGGUCAUUUUAUGUAUCCAUAUUUGAAGCCCCAGUUAAAAAAUGAUCAACUCUUAUAUUAGAAAAGACACAAACAAAAGAUCUUAUGAUCAGAAGUGGUAACUUCCUUUGAUUUCGACUUGCAUUUUAUAGGUCCUUCAGGUGCAUAAGGACAUCUUACCAAUGAAUCAAGGACACUGAUACAAGCCUUUGAAGACUUGCAUGAACUUCUGCAUAGUGCAUUCACUAAGAUAUUGCCUUCCAAGAAGUAAUAGUUAAUGCUAUUCAAUAUUAUGAUCAGAUCUGACUUAAGUCCAAGAUUUUAUCUAUGAUCAGAUUUUAUGUCAAACACAAAAUGGGCAUCACCUUCCAAGAAAUAUCUAAUCAGUGUCUAUUAUAUGAUUGAACAGCAGGAAACCUACCUUUUAAAUCCUAACAGCCAGCCAAACAACCACCUUCAUUCUGAGAUACAUAAUUAUUAAUCAUUAAGGACCAUUAGAUCAAUGAUUAUUUUUUUGAGGCUUUACUAUGUAAUAUAUAUACAUAUAUAUAACACCAUAUUAAGGCAUCUUUUGGUAGAAAAAAAAUCAUGCAAGGCAUUUGGAGCAGCAUCAUUCAAGAGAAGAAUCAGAAUUAACAACUUGCAAAUUAUAGAGGAAAAGAGAGCCUAAUCUAUAGGACAAAUGAUGCAGAAUGCAGCACCUGCAAAAAAGGAAAAAGAAAAAAGGAAAAGACACAAGAGAGAGUAGGAUAGCAAUCAUACUUACACAUUACAAUCAAAAUAAGAUAGAUCAUACAGCAUUGAUCCAUCUUCCUUAAGCAUCCAGAGUUUGCUGAAAUGGAGUCUCAAGUCAAUAAGUUUUCCCUGAUGAGAAGUAUGCAGCAACAACCAAAGUCAGCUAGAGCAUCUAACAAAGUGAAAGCAGGAUAAUGGUUUUUAUUUAACACAAAACAGCUUUAGUAUCUACAAUCUAGCAAACCAGUGAUACCAGUAAAAGCACUUUUCCUCUUCAACGAGGGGUUUUCUGGGAAACUGAACUAAGAAACAAGUGCCAAGUGCAUUUUAAGAAACACAGAAUUUGCAUUCUCAAAAUUGCCUAUGAGAUAUCCCACCAGAUGAGAAAGGAUGAGAAAGGAAAAAAGGUUUACAUGCUCUUUCUUUUUUCUUUCCUCCCCAUGUGCCUUGAUGCCACUGUCCCGCAAGCUUCACCACGAGUUGUGUUUCCUACAUGACCCUUGAUCAAUUUGACUUCUUUAAUGAGAAGUCUUAUAAAUCCAAAACUAUUUUUCCUUAAGAGUAAUAUACUAUUACUAAUAUAAGUGAAGCCACAACUUCAUGCCUCAAAAAAUUAUGUACUAGGCUCCAUGAAAAAAGAAGUUAAAAAUAUUCACCCCCUCUGCCUUUUUUGUGAAAAAAAAUAAAAACACAUGGGCAGUUAGUAGAGAUUUUUAAUGUUUUGCUAAUCUUUACAAGAUAUAUUUCUUAUUUCCUAUACUAAAUAUAAGAAUAAUUUUAAGAAUUUUAUAUAGAUGUUUUCUGUUUCCAAGUCAUAUAAAUUUUCAACGAUCAACUCCCCCUCUUGUUUCUUGUAUCGUUUCUUGCACUCAUUUCCCAAAUUGGCAACUACAUAGCAGAUAACCUCUACUCUUGGCACAAAACCAACUUUGCAUCACUGAUCUCAAAAAGCGGAACUAACAAAAAUGAUCAUGAAAAACAUAGGGUUAGAUGUUCAAAUUUGCAACCCAAGCAAUGAACAUAUUUACCUAUUAACUUUGGCCACUGACUUGAGUAGAUUCUAGGGAAAUAUUGACCUUAGAAACCAUCUAAAUAAAAGUUAGUGUGAUUUAUUCAUAGACUGGCUGCUUAAGGGUGAGACAAGGAGAUCAAAAAAUGACAAGCGAUAUAGUAAACAGUGAAGAAUGUCGAUAGCCAUCAUUGACCAAAUAGUUCCCAAAUAUCAAAAACAUUCCACAAAAAUUUUAGCAGCUCUAAAAUAAGGGUUUUGGAGUUGAAAAGGUCAUCCCUUUUACAAAGAUAAAUUUGCUUGCCUUCAAAAAAUUCGUCUUCAAAAGGUUAAAACUGAGGGUAAAAAAGAUAGCGAAGUUCCUAAGGCUUGCAUAUCUUCUGGUUAAUUCAAAACAGCUGCCAAAAUCUUUCCUGACAAUACCACAAGGAAUCCUAACCAAUUUACAAGGACAACUAACCAUGAAUGUAACAUUCACUUUCAGGUUGAUUCCAAAUGGAUGUUUUUAUGGGAGUGUUUUAGAAAGCAGAAAGAGGGGCACAGCAGUCAUCUAUCAGCCACAAGACCAUAGACACCCCCAUUAUUAACUCAUGGUUUGCUGAUAUGGGCAGCAUGGCGCAAUACAUACUUUGUACAAUCAGUUUUUCGGGCCUUGCUCAUGGGCUGAUAAAACCUUUUCCCUUAAGGAUUAGGGGUCAAAACAAGUGACCUAAAGCCCUCCAAUUAAAACCACAUGCGAAAUUAUUAUCAAGCAUCUAGAAGAUUAGUAGAACAAAAAAAAUGCACAUAGGACAUGUUUACCUCUUCCAAGUGGAUAUUCUGCAUUGCAGGCUCUGGCGAUAAAGAGACCUUUUCUCCAGCGCUAAAACCAAAAUGAUGCAAAGAAACCAUCUGCCUAUCAGAUACCUUCAAAUAUGAACCAGUUAGUUAUUUCCAUAAUACAUCUUGAAGCAAGUGCCAGAAAUAGCAUAGAGGUUUAGUUAAUGAUGGGAAAAGUUUAUUUCUAAAAACAAUCUAAUAAUAGAUUAACCAUUCCAAUUAUCAUAAGAACGUAAUACAUCCAAUGCUUGAAAUACAAUAGAGUUUACUUUUCCAAUCUAAUUUGGAAAAAGAAAAAAAGGAAGAAAGAAAGAAAAAAAAAUAUAUAUAUAUAUAUAAUAAGAGAAAUAACGGAACUUACUACAUGGUUUUAUGUAAUAACAAGAACCAGAACUGUGACACUCUGUACAUUUCUAAAUUUAUUAUUAUAUUUUUUUAUUUAUUUGUUUUAUAUGUAUUCUUAUGUAACGUAUUUAAUUUUGUUUUUGUCGAGGAUAAUAAGAACUAAUAGCAUUAGACUAGAACUUAAGAUUUAGUAGUACAUGCUGACAAUUAAGGAUUCGAUCCAGAAAGCUAUGAUGGACCAUCAUUCAAAAAUAAGUGUAGAAUUUUUUAGUGAGAGCAGUUUUACAUGAAACCAGACCUCGAAGGUUCUAUAGCAGGUUAUAACAGGUUGACAGUUCUCAUUGAAUCCAACCUAAAAUUUUUAAUAUUUUACUCGAAUUUUAGACUUGGAGAAAUCCUAGGAAACCUUAUUUUUCAAUAUGUUGCAUUGGGAAAGAAAAGGGAAGAAAUGCUCAGCAACUGAGAGAAUAAAAAGAAGAAAGGCUGCAAAGGACUUUUAAUUUGAAAAAUACCAAUAUUUAAUUCUCUUUCUAUGAGAUUAUUUUAUAUUUAUUUUGGAGUAGAUGUUCUGCGGGGUAGAAUACCUGAAGGCUGAAUUAGAAUUUUUUUUUUUUACAUGGGAUAAAUAUAGAAUUUUAAACCCAAGAUUUUAUGGAUUGAAAGUCCAUAUGUGAACUACUCUUAGAUUCAAUUAAAGCAAAAAAAAAUUUCCCAACCCCAAGCCGAUGUUUCAUAGGAAACUUUCUUUUGCCGUCAGCAAUGACAGAUUUCUACAGCUGUUUUCAGUGUACACAUUGAUUGCCUAGAGGCCUAGGGAUUGUUUGGGAUUUUGAUAGAGUUAUAAUUGAACCAUAGGAAGCUUGGUUAAGGGUUGCCAUAAUGAGGGAUUACGCUAUAAAGUAGUAAAGCUAGUUAGUUUAAGUUAGAGUAGGCAAAUUUCAGAUGCUAUUUAUUGAAUAUAGUUUAGAACGAUUCUUCUCUAGGACUUAAUUGACAGCUAUUUAAGCUUCUCCGAUGGCUAUUGGUGGCAAGUUGAUAAGAGAAAUAGGAGCGGUAAAUAGACACUCAUGAUACACCUUUUAUCCCUCUUUCUUUGAUAUGCUUUAUUUUCUUAUUGAUGUAAAAAUAUGCUUGUAGUGCAUGCUAUUUUUGGAACUCUUCCAUGUGUCUCAAAAUUCUUAUGGUUCCUGUGUGAUUUGAUAUGAUAUAGAGUUAGGGAUUCCCAAUCCAGUUAGGGUUUCUACACAAAAUUUUUGUUCCUUUGUAAGUUAGGAGUCACUGAGUAGUUUCUUUUUCAUUCUAGGGAUCUCAGAUUUAGCUACCAGAACUUGUCUUACUUGUAAUUUUCAUGACUGAUUCAAGAGACCGCUUUUAGUAGCUCCCUGAAUCCUUGUAUAAGAUAGAUUAGCAUCUAUGAAUCUUACUGCAGAUACUGCUAGCAUUAAGAAAGUUAUAAACAGUUCCAAUGACUUGUUUUAUGAUGUUUCAUUGCAACCUAACUUGUGUAAUUUAUAAAAGUUUUGGCACAAGAAUAGGAUUAAAAUCUACAUAAGGAGAGGGCCUCUUCAUCUAAUCAAAUGUUAUUCAAAAUCUUAAUGAUUUUUUUCAUUUUCUUCCUCAUAGGAGAAGAACAGCAUGCUGACAAGCUUCCAACAGCUCAUUACUGUUGGCAACAUGUUAUCAAUUGCUAAAUCAAGACCUGUGAGAUGAUAAACUUUGUUCAAAACUUCAAAUAGCUUCUAUCUUUGAUGUUUUAUUCAUUUGUUCGCAUUUCUAAAGAGAAUAUAAUUAAUCAUAUUCCUAAGGAAUAGAAGAAAUCCUCAUACGUAGAACAUGAUAACCCUAUUACCAAAUUUGGGAUCCAAUUUGAGAUUGACCUGCUUCUUUACAUGGAGGCUAAAUGAAAAUCAUUCACCAACUAAAUUACAUAUAUUUGGGUAACACAAACUAAUACAUUUGAUGAAAGCCAUAUCUCUACUGGAUCUUGAACUGUGAACCACAACAUGUUCCCAUAGCACAUAAACACUGUUUAUUUCAAAACAACAGAAUAUGUUACCAGAUAUCUGCAGUAACUAUCUUGCCUAAUGAUAAUAUCCAAUAUUGUAAUGGAAGCAUGUUAUAAUUGAUGAUCAUAACUGAAGACAAACCAAAGAACAAAGAGAAAUAAAAUGAUAAACAAAAUAGAAAAGAAUGCAUGUAUUGUAGCUAAGCAUAACCUUAUAACUAUGGAUGAUAAAUCUGCAGCAAACAUACCAAAAUGCCCUCGUGUAAAAUUGCCAAACAAAUUAGGUUUGUAUCUUGAUUGGCAUCACCAACACAUAACCUGGAGGGAUUAGAUCCUGAAAUUCACAUAAAAACAGAAGAGAUUAUUAACAAAAGCAAGCAAAUUGUCCACAGAACAAGUAUACCAUAACAUUUGCUUAGCAUCAUGAGUCCGAAUUAUUGUUGCUCAACACUUGACGUCAAGGCACACAACUCAUCAAGCACUGAAUUUCAAUGGCAAUAUAUUUUGCAGGAGACAGAAAACCAUUUUUUCAGAGAAAGAUAUAAUAAUUAUCACCAUAAAAAAUUUUAAAGAGGUUGAUACUGGACAUGAUACCACACUUUGCAAACCAGAUGAAAAACCAUGAGGCAUGGCAUCCAAAUGAUAACAGCAUUGCGAGAGUAUACACUGAUUCAAUCUCAUAAGGAUCAUAAGAUUAAAUACAAAAUCAUGACUGGUUCCUCAUCAAGCCACUCGAUCAACAAACGAAGAAAAGACAAUGCUUUUGUCACCAAAGUCAUAUAGCACUGAAAUUUAUUUCAUUUUCUUUACCUUUCAAAUCCAUAAAAUUAAUCAUUUCAUCUACUUAAGGGUGCAUUGAAGACUACAAGUAGGAAAUUUACACUUAACUGAAGAGUCUUUUAUUUCAAAAAAUUUACAAAUGGAGUGUGUAAUGUUUUUAUUAAAGAUCAUUCUAAUAAAGAACAUAUUGAAAUUUCUUUAUCUAGAAAACAAUAUGUAAAAGUGGAUAAUUAAAAGGUAAUAAAUAGAUAGUAAGAAAUAGACAAGAGAAAUAGUAACAGCAUUGAUAAUUCCAACAAAUAAUAUUCAGCAAGAAUACCCACACAAAUAUAUGAUAUUAGAAAUUAUGUAUACAAGAAGUGAUGCUAAAAAAGUUGAACUUAAUAAAGUAACAAAUCGCACAAAAUUGUUACAAAAGGAAAUAUUUUUCACAAGACGAUUGGCAUCUAUAUGCUGCAUGCAUGAAGAAAAAAGAAACACCACAUGCAUGGACAAAGACCGUCCACAAACAAGGAUCAAAAUCAACACACACACUCACACACACACACACACAAAAAUUUCUGUAUAACAAUCUUACGAGGUGAAAAAAAGAUGGAUUGGUUCUGUACGGGAGAGCAAAAGAUCAAAGAUCUCUUACAACAACAACAACAAAAAAAAAAAAAAAAAGCAAAAUGUAAGAUAGAAAUAUAAUAAGGACAGAAAAGUGAAUAUACGUGUAAAUUAGUAGUCUGAAAUGAAAUCAUCCAUUAGCACUAUACCAAAAUUGAAUUUCAAGCAUACAUAAAAAACAGCAGAUUUACACCAUGCUUUAAUUUCAGAUCCUGAUCUCAAAUCCUUCAAACUUAGAAAUGUGUAUAGAUAAUGGUCUUCAAUAGAAAUGGUUUUUAAAUUUUUGACUAUAUAUAUCAACAUUCGCCGUCCUAGUACUGGAUCUCAUACCGGUACCUUCCUAUUACAGUGUAUGUAUGCAGUACAGUACAAGAUAGGAAGGCGGGUACAGUACUGACGCGUACGGCAAACCUUGACAUAUAUGAUUCAAGACACACAUGAAAUAAUUGUUAAGGAACUAAUGUGCCAUGUGUUACAAUAAAUUGUAGAGGAAAAGGAGUAGCAAAAGUUGCCUUCCAGUUCACUUGAGCUAACAUUAUGACCAAUAAUCUUCAUGCGACUAACAAGAUCCCAUACACGCAAGAUUCCAUCCAAAUGAAGAACAAAUAGCAAUUUUCUUCCACAAAUUUCAGAUAUCACCAUAUCUUGCACAGGCCCAACAACCUUUCCCCUGCAAAUGUUUGUUAUGAAAAUAAAUCUCAGGGACAAAAACAAGGAGGAUAAACAUAUAAAACAAAGAACAAAGCAUAAGAAACACAAAUAGCAGCAGAAAAUAUAAGAUAGAUUCUACAGUUAUACCAACUUAAGCCCCAAAAUGUGAAAAAGAAAAACAAAAAAAAUAUAAACCAUGUGUAUAAAAAGAAUUAAAAAGAAAUAUGCAGUGGAAAGAUGGGCAGAAAUCGAAUAUAUAGCACCAGCUAUGAAACAUGUCAACAUGAAAGGAAACAGGGCCAAAGUUCAGGAGAAACCAUGCAGAAGGUGAUGCAUCCUGAGAGAUAUUAAUGUCUACUAAAGGUCAUCAUCUUUAAUCAACAUAUCAAGGACCAAAAAUUCUUUAAUCGUGGUGAAUUAAUCAAGAAAAAUUGCAAAAAGAUGUUUAUGUAAUUUAUCUCCAUCACUGAAUUCAAUGUUCCAGAAAGACCAAAGGCACCAGACACAGAAGGGUCAAAUAAUUAAAUAGUGCCAUUAAUGACCUCAGUGUCUUAAAUUUUCCUGGUUCCAGCUUAAUUAGAACUUACUAACGCAUCUGAAGGUGCAUUUAGAUAAGGUUGUUUAGUGUGUCUGAUUUACACUACCCACUCAUCUAAUAUUUUACCAAACUAAACAGGAAUUCAAUGCAAAAUUGCAAACAGAAGCAUAAGUACAAUUAAGGUCUAUUUAGCAUCCUUAACACUGAAGCUUCAUUUAGAAAGAGAUAAAAGCUUGUUGAUAUUUCUUGAGUCCUUCCAUGGCUGCCAAAAUCAUAUUUCAUUUCCCCAAAAAAGUUAGCACAUGAGGAAUUUCAAAGUUUUUUUUUUAAGUGAGAAUAAUCACAUUAGUUGCUCGAGAAUACCGAUAGUGAAAGCACAUGUAAUCUUUACUGGCACAAAUGAGAAAGAAGGACGAGCAACAUCAUUCCCAAACCAUAUCGAAAAUGACUAUGAAAGUAAGGUCUCCCCACAAUGAAAGCCCAAAACAAAUUAUUAAAAGGAAAUCUCCUAUACAUUUAGCUAAUUCACAACUUAGAUGUUUCCUUUUUGUGCACGUUAUGAUUAGGGCGCAACAGAAAUGAUGGCCAGAGUUUGUAGCAUAACUUUAUCAACUAAUUUAACAAAAUAAAUAAAUAAAAACACAAGUCACCUUAUUUCUUCUAGGAAGCACCUCUCAAUGGUUUUAUUCACCAAUGAAACCUUCACAUAGAUCACACUAUUGUAAUAAGUAUUCACGAAGGUGACAAAAACCAUGUUUAACAAUAGACAAAAUCUUUCCAUCGCUACAAUUGAAAAGAUUGCCAGCAUUUAAUGUGCAAGUCUUGCCUCAGCAUCCUCUUUUAUGGAGUUUGGUGUUAGCUUCCGUGACUUUUUCAGCUUAGGGGUGACUUUUAGGUCCUUUGAAUAGUUCAAGUGCUGUCUUUCAAUAUUUUGACAAAAAGUUAAACCAGAACAAAGUACUGAUUUUGCUAAGAGAACUGCAAAAUGUUUAUCUUCUGAAAAGGAAAAAAAAAAUCAUUCCUCAUCCUUUCAUGCUUCUAGACAAAUACAAGCCUGUUUCGUAAUCGAGAAAUGGUAGCUAAGUAUCACCCUCACAAAUUGUUCUAGCUCAACUCCUCCCCUUCCCAGAAGAGGAAAAGGACUUAAGCAUUUCCCAGGUGGUAAUAUUUUGUAUGCUAAAAGAAAUACCUUGACACAAGAUUCCAUAAACGACCAAUCCCAGCAUCAUCACGAAGCUCAUUCAUGAAACCUACAGUCAAAAAGAAAAAGGUUUUCACAAGCAAUGAACAAAUUACAAGAAACAAAUUGGCAAAGAACGUGCAUUAGAUUCAGACAAGCAAGAAUAUGAAAGGCUUAGUGAUAUAUACAGUAUAAUCCCAAAAUUCAAGGAAAACCUGGUGCACUUGGAUCUAGUAUUCCCAGUUGGUAGCAGCCAAUUGAUCCAUCUUGUCGCCCAAUUAUCAUGCAUCCUGGCGCUGCUGUUACCGCUGUAAUAUUUCCAAUUUGUGCAUGAGUUUGAACAUUAAACUCUACAAGCUCAUUCUGAGGAAAGGUGGAACCAGAUAUAUAAGAUAAUGAACUUCUCAAGUAGAAAAGAUAAGCAACUCCUGAAACUGUCAGCGUAUAAAGCAAGUAUCCAUUUCCUGCUCUGCUCUGAAUCUGUAGAUAAAAAUUUUAAGCUACCCCAGGGCAAAAAAAUAUAUAAUAGACAAAAGGAAGACUGUUCCAAGAAAAAUUCCCAUAAGACUACAUGCUCAGAAUAUGUGUACUUCAGAAUCAACACUGAACUGACCUCGUUUUUGCAUACAAAAGCAAAGGGACAGAGUGCAUCCUGAAAUACAAUGUGCAAUCCAGUCUCAGGAAAUUCUUUAUGUGGAAAAAGCUCGACCACCUCAAGGACAUUUGGAAGAUUCUUAUGAAGCCUCCUGGGAAGUUUGAAUUUAAGUUUAAAAUCCAAAGAAGGAAAAUAUCAAAUGCUAUAACACAUGCAUCUUAUAGAAGCCAAGGCCAAAUAAGAAUAAAAAGUUUUGUGGACAAGCAAGCAUGUUAAGAUUCUGAUGUGAUUGCACCGUUGAUAAAAGCGGGGAAAGAAGAAUAAGGGAAAGUAAAUAAAGAAAUUAGAAUGGAAAAAAGAAUCUAGGUCCUGCUUUUUUCGUGCAACAUCAUCAUCGCAUCUUUGUACAACCACAUAUCUGAGAUAAAUGUUAUAACACAGCAAAAAGACCAGCUUUACCGUACCAGCUGAAGAAUAUGGAUAUAAAGAUGGCGUAUGCAUAUGGUAAAAUUAUGGAAGAUAUAAUUAUAACUGAGCAUGUUACAAGAAGUCUAUGAGUUGCACUGAUCAAAAAAAUACACAGGAGAGAAUAUAUGUUUACAGUGAUUAGUGUAUGUACAGCAUGGAUAAGAAUGGCCGGUGAAAAAAAUAUGGGUUGAAGAGUUCAAAAGGAGCAGGAAUGGUAGCAAAAGGAUUUGGAUGAAAAUAAUGAAAAAGAAAACAAUGAUAAUUUCUGGCUGUAGUUGACUUUGUAUUGGAUGAAAACAAGAGGCUGAAUUGAUAGAUGAUCAACCCCAGACUGAUGGGAUGGCCAUCCUACUUAAUUUCAUAUUUUUUAUUUAUUUUUCUCCAAAUUCCUCUUGAUUCCACGCAUACAAAUUGACUUUUCUUCUCCUGAAGAAGUCCAAUAUUAGAAAGUUUAUCUAUGCGCCAGCUCAAAUAGUACAAAGCGGCAUUUAGCAAUCCUAGGUUCAAAUAGAACAUGCACGUGAGAUCCCUUGGCAGCUAGAGUAAAUUUCUUACCUGAGAUCAAUAUUGUUAGUAUUCUAAGGAGGAUCAAGUGCCUCUCUUGGAACGAAAUAUAGCAUUAGAAUUUAUGUCAAGAUUUCGGAUGUGCACAAAUUCAAGAAACGAUCCAGUAAACUUGCCAACUUCAAUUGAUAAUAAAAUAAGGCCCAGAUUCAAGAAAUCGGCCAGAAAAUUAAUUCUCCGUCUGACAACUGGGUGCUCACGGGAAUGGCUCGUAAAGGUCAUCUUACCAAGAUGAAACAAUUUGUUUUAAUUAAAAAUAGAGCCAAUAAACUAGCAAAAACAUGUUAGGUUUUAGGUUGCAGCGGAACCAAAAAAAAAAGACUGAAAAGAAGCUGUCAAGGACAUGGAGAUGAUCCUACCAAGAUGGAAUCAAUUAAUUUAAACCAAAAAAAAAUAUAAUCCAUAAGGUAAUAAGGUAAUAAGCAUUGCAGCAUAAAUGACGGUAUACGUUGAAAAAGAAUCAAAGUCAGUGGAGUGAACUGAAAUCAAAUCAAUAAACCAAUAAAGAGGAGGAAGAACAUUAGAAGAGAAGAAGAAGGGUUACCAGACGAGGUAGGCCGGAGGAUCUCCGUGAAUAACGUGACAAGAUGCGGCGUUUCGGGAGGCCGUAGGGGUGGAGGGCUGGGACGCAGGGAGCUGAGGAGGAGACGACAAGGGGGAGGAGAAAGGGACGGUGACCUCGAUCCACCGGACCUUUUCGCUUCCGGCGAUGGGAACCUCCAUGCCAGCGAGGGAUCGAGAGGCGGCCGCCAUGGCCGGGCCGCGGCGGAGGAUGGAGAGGAGGAAGGCGAGAAGGGUUUUAGAAAGGCUUUUGGCGGAGAGGGAGAGAGGUCCCUGGGACGUGAGAGGACACUGGGCUUAGGCCCGUUCUUUUUAGCGGUGUCGGCAUGGUCCGAAACAGCCCUCGGUCUUCGCAGUUCCUUGACCUGACCCAUUAACUGAAACGGGUCCGGGUCCGGGUCCGGGUCCGGUCUGGCUUCCUGUGGACUCUGGUGCCGCCUGGUUGAAUUCUUUUAGCACACGGCUCCUCAGAAAUUUCAAAUUGAAUUUGGAUGGUAGUUGAUGCAAAAUAUAUAAGAGCCGUUUGUAAGGCUGUAAAUGUCCCAAGAUGUUUCAAAACAUGCCAAGGCUUGGCUCAAUAAUAGGCUUAAUUAAAAUUUUAUUUGGCUCAGCUUUUAGAGCUCCAAAAAAAUACCUUCAGGCCUUUAGAAAAUAUUUUAGGGUAAUACGGUGAUAUUUAGUAAAAAAUAAAAAAAUUAUUUUGACUUUACGAGAAAGCUGAAAAGAUUUACUUAAAGAAUGUAUUUUCAAGUUUUUCCCAAAAAUACUUUCUAGCUAAUAUCGGAAAGCUAUUUUGAUUUAAAUAAUUUUUUUUUAAUGAUAUAAAUAUCCAUUAACAAAUCUCAUAAUCAUAUCAUAUUUAUAUUAUUAUACUUUAAAUAUAAUAUAAUAUAAUAAUAAAUUAAUAAUAUAAUCUAUUAUAGUAUUGUUAUAUUAUUAAAAUAUAAUUUGAUAUAAUAAUAUUUAUUAGUAAUAUUAUAUUAUUAUAUUAUAAUAAUAUAAUAUAACCUGCCAUAUUAUAAUUUAUUAUUAGAUAAUCUAUUAUAUUAUAUCACAUUAUAUAUUACAUCAUAGUUAUAAUAAUAUUAUAUUAUGUGAUAUAUAUAAUUAUAUUAUAUGAUAUUAUAUAUUAUAUUAUAAUAUUAUAUUACAUUAUAUGAUAAUAAUAUUAUAUAAUAAAGUAAUAUUUUAAAAUAUAAUAAUAUUUAUGUUAAAGACAUAUAAUAUAUUUAUUAUAUUAUAUUUUUAUAAUAAUAUCAUAUAAUUUAUUAUAAUAAUAUAUAUUAUAUUACAUUAUAAAUUAUAUUAUAAUUAUAAUAAUAUUAUAUUAUAUUACAAUAUUAUGUUAUAUUAUAUGAUAACAAUAUUAUAUAGUAUAAUAAUAUUUUAAUAUAUAAUAUUAUAUUAUAUUAUAUUAUUCUCUACUAUGUAAUACUAUUCAAUAUCUUUAAUCAUCAUUUUAUCAUACCAAAAGUAUUUUUUAUUUUACUUACCAAAUAUAUAUUAAAAUUUCAAAGCACUUUAUAAAUAUAAUUAUCCAACAACAAAUAGUUUUUUAUAAAAAUUUCACUUUCAAAAAUUUUACUUCUUAAAAGCUCUACUUCCAAAAGCUCCAAAAAUUCUACUACCAACAACAAUUCCAAAUAGGACCUAAGCCUUUUCAAUUAGAAGGCAAGCUAGGGAUCAAUAUAAUUAGUUUUUUCCAUGAAUUAUUUUUAAUAUUUUAUCAAAAUUAUGUAUAAAACCUCUUCUUAUCAUUAUUUUCUAAUUGAUAUAUAUAUAUAUAUAUAUAUAUAUAUNNNNNNNNNNNNNNNNNNNNAUAUAUAUUGCUGUUUAGAUGGUUGAGCCUAAAAUCCUAUGGUAUUUAAGGGUUGAGCUAGUACAACCAUCAAAAGCUUAAAUUAUAAGUUGGGCAGAAUAUUUUUUUCUCUAUAUAGGAUUCAGAUCAGUCCACUCAAAAGAUAAUCCUAGACACUUGUAAGUAUAGAUUGAGCCUAAUUUAUAUUCCAAAGUAGUAGUGGUUGUUGUAUUGAUUCAAUUCAUGAAUGUCAUGAGAUUUUGAGUUCAAUCAUCCAACCAGAUCCUUAUAUUGUAAAGGGAUUCUUGGAUUAAGUUUUCAGCGGAUGAUAAAUAAAUUAUUAUUUUAGACAUUAGUAGGGGGCCAUUGAUGUUUUGUGGCCAAAAUACUCUAAAUUAAAUAGAUUUCUUUUCCAUUUUUUUUCUCUCCUAUUCUCCACUUCCAAUCCUCAAAUUUCAGCACCGAAGUCAUGCCUCCGAUGCAAUGGUUGACACCAUGCAUCUGCACCAACCUUGGCCUCAAGAGCAUGGAAAAGAUGAUCUUCAUCUUCGAUGAUACUAUCAUCACCCAUACAUGAUACUACAAUGGAAAAGAUGAUCUCCACCUUCGAUGAUACUAUCAUCACCCAUGCAUGACACUACCAUUAUAAAAAAAAAAAAAAAAAAAAAAACGAGAAGAGAAGAAGAAGGAGGAAGAUGACACCACCAUCCUCAAUAAAUUAAAAUAUGGACGCCAUCAUAUCCAUUGUUAACCCCACCCACCUCGAUCUCAUUGACCUCAAUGAUGUGAAGGCCCUCAAGAAGCUUGGCGGCACGUUGAGCAAUACCAAGCUUGUCAAGGGGCCCAUCUUUGAUCAGUUAUGCCACUAGUAAGUCCGCUCUGAAGCGCAGCUACAUUCUCGAGAUGGUGAAGAUCAAAAUCGAACAUUGACUGCAUUGUGUUUAAGAGUGUUUUGAGGGAUGCUGUGACCAACCUCGCUGCACUACUUGAUCAAGGCCAAGAUUUUGGGUGGUCAAUGAUGUUAGAGGUGUGAGAUUGAGUUAAUGGCAGACUACUUGCUCGUCUCCAAUAUUAAACGCCCUGGAAGGUUUCUACCAAAAAGAAACAAAACACCCUGGAAGGAGAAGUUGGAAAUUGCUGACUUGCACAGAUGGUAUUGGUUGAGGACGGGAAGACUGAAGGACCACAACUUUUGCACCUUCCUCGCAAACUUUCUCAUCCAUAACCUCGACCAUCUCACCAUCUUAUUAAGGAGCAAGCUGUUUCCCUCUGCCAAGCUCACGGCAAUUACCAUGGUCAAUGAGGCACUAGCCCCCAACUCCAGAAAUACCGAUGCUUAACCAGCUCAAAAUACUGAUACGGCAUUUUUUUUCAUAAGAUUUUCUCCCAAUCCCUCAAGUUGCUCCAUUCACUCAUAUUUCGCUCCCACCAUAAUGAGUGAGCACCAUCGAACCUUCUGCCUACCUCUAUCCCUUCCUUGACAUCAUAUGAAGUGAUGAGAUCCCCACCGGCGUUACCCUCUCUACCACUGCUCUUAAGAUCCUCCGCUUAACAUAUUUAAGUGCACCCUCAUACCUACGAGGCCAUCUACACCAUUGUUGCAAGGAGCAGAAAGGAAGGGACGUAUUAUUUUCGUGGACCCACAAUCGAGAUCAUCCAUGGUAGAGCAAUCAUGUAUGGACCCUGACCCUAAUUAGCUUAAAAAAUAAAAAGUGAUUAUGGUUCAUUGGGGCAGUGGAAGGCUAUAUAAGGAUCUAUUUGCAAAUUAGAUAGGCAUUUUAUAUCAUUUAUGCUGCUGGGGCGCGGUGCGGGGGAUGCCUUUUGUCUCACAUCGAUUGCAAGUCAAGAGAUAGAAAAUUUUUUUCCUCCAGGUGGUAUUUUUUUUUUUAAAUAAAGUUGUACGCCCAAUAGUUAAAAGCGGCUCCAAAGCGGAUGAUACCUUCUGGAUAGAGAUUGGAAGGUCAGAUAAUUAAUAAAAUGGUAAUAAGUAAAGUUUAUGUAUGACUCUGUAAAAUAUUAACUUUCAGCUUGUAAAAUUCAAACAUAAUGCUUCAAGCUUGCAAAAUUGAGUAGAAAUUUGAACUUCACUUUGUAUCCCGAAAAAUCAUGUAAAAGCAUGGAUAUGUUGCUUACAAGUCCUUGAUCCACCAACUUCAUACAUAGUUGGCAUAAGCUGUUAAUUCGGAUUGAGGACAUCUUUUAUGAUUAAAAUAUUUUUUUAUUAUUUUAAAGUAUAUUUAGGCCUAUAAAUGGGUCGGAUCAGAUUGGAUCCUGAGUGAUCUCGAUCCGAUCCAAUUUCUUGAUCAGAUCAUGAUAUUGGACCCAUGCCCAUCCCGAUAAAAAAUCGAAUCGGAUUAGAUCCAUAGCCAAAUUUAUUGAUCCAUUGGAUCAUUCGGGUCGGAUUGGGUCCAUAUAUAACCCGGUCCCAAUCCAUGAAAUGCAGGUUCGGUUCAAAUCUGAUUCGGAUCGAAUCGGAUCACAUGUUUAAUUUAUUUGAAACCUACCAUCAAUGAAUACUAAUGCUAGAUGACAAUUAAGAAAAGUUUUUUUUCUUGUAUUGCUGAAGGGGCGGAUUAUAUAUUGAUAGAACGAGAGAGAGAAUCCACCAAAAAAAAAAAAAGCAAGGAAAGAAGAAAAAAAUUUCAAGCAUUGUAGUACAUUGAUAGACUACACCAUUGGUCUCUCAUAAUCCCCCACAAAUGGUAGCCUUGCUCUAUCAACUUUCUCCUUUUCUUGGCCUUAUAAUUUGCUACCGCAUCGUAGCAGUCUUCUGCGCACCUGAAUCAUAUAAAUGACAGUCAUUAGUUACAGACUGGAGGAUCUUAAAUGUUUGUAUUUAAUAUCCAGAAAUCAUAUGGAAAAUUUUUUUGAUGGGAAUUGGAGGUAAUAUAUUAUUGUCCCUUGAUUAUUAUUGAUCAUGAAGGUAUCCAUGAUCUACAAAUGGAUGGGCUUGAUGGAAGUCUUUUCCAAUAUGAUAUGAAUGUAUUAUCAUUCUAACUUUUUGUAAUUAAUAUUUUUUCUGAUUUCAGUUCUUUAGCACUAAACUUAACAGAUCACUCAAAAUUUAUAAUUUUUUAUUAUCACUGUUGUUGCCUUCUAGUGCUUUAGCACUAAAAAAAAUCAUGACUCAAAAUCAAAUAAAGAAGAAAUCAAAAUAUACGGCAUCAAAAUAUAGAGAUUGUAGGAGAUAGGAAUGACAAAUCUUAAAAUCAAAUCGGUUCAAUCGAGGUACCCAACCUUAACAAGGUUGUCGAUAAUGGUGUCCCUCAGAUGCUCCCAUCUGGAAGAAAUGAGGAAGACCUUCAAAUCUCGUGUUUUGAUCUCAUGAUAUAGGUCGGGCAUAUGCUCCACGAUGAAGGCACUCCACUCUUCCAUCCAUUGCUCCAUGGAAGUACUGUUUGUCAUUGCUCCUCUACGCCCCAAAACAGUCCUUCCACACAAUUAUCAUCACACAUGAAUCCAUGAACAUCCAAAACCAAUAGCAUCUAAUCAUUACCAUAUAUAAACAUGGCAUGCAAGUGUGAUUAUUGAUCGAUAGCAUAUUCCUAGUAAAAUUAAGAAAAACUACUAAUAGUUGGUAGCCUGAGCUCCCAGCAAGAAGCUAGAAGAAGUAAUCGAGAUGUCCUUCAUUUAAAUUAUCAGGAAUCCAUCUAAUCUUUCCUCUUCGGAUUGUUAUAGAUAUUACAACAGUCAGAAUAAAAGAACUAAAAGAUUUGAAAAACUUUUAGUUUUGGAGAUUUUUAAUUUGAAAAUCGGAUGGAAAAGACUGAAAGAUUUGAAAAAUUUAAGCUCAAGCCCAAACCCCUAUUUGGAUGAGUCACUCUAACUGGGUUCGGAUCCUGUAUUUUGAUCCAGAUCGGAUUGGGUCGGGUCAUGUAUCUUAAGAUCUAAAUUAACCCAAAAAUCUCCACGGGUCGGGUCGGGUCCAAAUUCAGAAAAUCCAGACUCGAUCCGAAAAAGAGAACGGGUCCAAUUUUUGAACCCGAUUUUCAUGAAUUUUUUAAAUCGAUUUGGGUCGAGUCUAAUCGGAUCGGAUCGGAGUGGAUCAUGGAUCAACCCGACCCAUUUGCAGCCUUAAAUAUAUUUAUAUUCUUCAGAAAACAAGCAUCCAGUGGAUAGUAAUUCUAUCAAAAAAAAAUCCAAAAAUAUAUUUUUUAUAAGAAAAAAAAAUUACUUUUAGUGCUUCUUCUUAAAAUUACUCUGUCAUCUUUGAACAUGAUAAGCCUAUUCAUCAAAUAUUGCUAUACGAUUACUAAAUAUUAUGUUAAAAAUAUUAUUAUUUUUAAAUAUUAAAUAUUUUUGAGAAAUAGUUUAAGAUAAUCAAUUAAAAUUUGUCCUGAUGAUUAUAUCUCUCCAGUUAGUAAUUUUAAUUUUUUUUUGAAAUAAACGGACGGUCAUACUAUUAUGGAAUGAGAGCAGCCCAUCAAAUCAAGAUAUAAAAUAUCUCGUAGAUUAGGUAGAUAUAGAUUCUUUUGUCUCCGGAUCCAAUCUCCAGAAUAUUUUAUGAUAAAUGAUAUAAUUUUAAAUUUUUUGGAUGGUGCAUUCUCAAAAAUAAUAGGACUUAGAUGCUUGUGGCAUGGUGUAUCUCCCUUCUUUACUCUUGGAGGGAAAAGAAAAAAAAAUGGUGAUUUUUUUUAAAAAGAAAAAAAAGCAACAGUGCAAGUACUUCGAUGGACUAUCCUAAGAAAAUUAUUCAAAAAAUACGCACGAUAACAAACUCGGCUNNNNNNNNNNNNNNNNNNNNAGUAUAGUAUAUAGUAUAUAUAUAUAUAUAUAUAUAUAUAUAUAUAUAUAUAUGUGUGUGUGUGUGUGUGUGUGUGUGUGUGAAUGAAGGUUCCCAAUUUUAAAAUAAAUUAUGGAAGACUUUUUCGGUCGCUAGCUUCAAUGCAAUCGGCGGUUGGUGGACUUCACUGGCUCUCCAAGGUAUUCCAUUGGAUCAUAUUGAAUAAUGUCAUUCUUCCCAUGUCUCAUAGUUCAAGAUAAUUCGCUUGUAAGAUGUUGACUUACCAGCUAUAUGAAGAGGAGAUUCAAAUAUAACUCAUUCUUCACUAGAAGACAUGGUGAUAUUUUGAUAGAAACCACGUGCUAUCCCAUCAUUGAGUACACUUAUGUGAGCAUGGUCGAAUCGAUAAAUUUGAUUUUCAUAUCAACUCUUGUCUAUGUGUUAACAGUUAUUCUUGAUCGAACAGGACCAUGUGUCGUUUGUUUAAUUACUAAUUUAAUAUGAUUCUCAUACCAUACCACCCUAAAUAGAUUGCAGGCGACAUAGAACUGGACCUCUCACAUCUCUAGUUCAACUGCAAACCGAAAAGGAUCCCAGCUCUAUAUUUGCCCUAUCAAGCCCGGAAUGUCUUUUUUUGAUGAAUAUGGGAGGCUGGAAGCCCCCCAGCAUUUCUUAAAAUAAGAGAGUUUGUACAGAGUCAAGGAAAAGAGUUACGGAAGAGGUUACAAGACCCUGCUGGUGCCCGGUUAGUUUUCAGAAAAAAACAGACGCAGUUACAGGCCAAAAUUAUAAUUUUUUAGAAAGGAAUGGACUCCCAAUGGAAUUGAUCAAGCUUAAUCAGGCAUGACAUUGCAAACAAAGUUGAGGGUGGCUUGAGAGAAGGUGAUUAUAAUUGAAACCAACCAUGUUCUCUCUCUAUGUGUGUGUAUGCAUGUAUCUGCAUGUAUGGCAAAAUUUCAGGCCGUUCAAUCCUCUGGUGCAAUGACAGGUGAGAGGAGACUGAGCCCGGACUGCUUUUAUAUAUAUAUAUAUAUAUAUAUAUAUGCGUGCGCGCGCCCGGCAAGUCUCGAUCUCUUCAACCAUGUGCCAUUAUCUUUCUACGCCUCCGAAUUGAUUGCCAAUGAUGAGAGCUUAUAACUCCAUUACCUUCCCAGGUACCUUUUACAAAGGAGUUCGGGAAAAAAANNNNNNNNNNNNNNNNNNNNNNNNNNNNNNNNNNNNNNNNNNNNNNNNNNNNNNNNNNNNNNNNNNNNNNNNNNNNNNNNNNNNNNNNNNNNNNNNNNNNNNNNNNNNNNNNNNNNNNNNNNNNNNNNNNNNNAGGAGGAGGAGGGAGGGAAAACACUGGCCAGUGCGAAUAGCAUAGCAGUGCUUGAUCCCCAUGCGAUCUAAUCGCCAUCAAGUCGCACAUGACAUGCAGCACGAUGCAGGUCCAUGGCCCUUUUUCGUUUUUGGGGUAACACAGGUCCACUGUCUUUGACCGGAUAGAAUUACAGCAUGAUUUGUUUUCCCAUGUAUUCCAUGUGCCAAACUUAAUUACUGCCUGGGCCGGAGCUGAGAUACAAAAGAGGCGCUACCACGGGAUAGGAAAUCAGGUGCACGAGCAUAGCCGUUCGUUUAUCCUGAUCGUGAUCAACGGUACCAAUUCCCAUGAUGUUGGUCGAGAUCACCGAAGCUGAUGUCUCCGUGUCACGUGCCAGUCGUCAGUUGCCUAACCGCUGACGAAGGCCUAAAUGACGAAAACGGACGGCUUCGCCCCAAACCCAAUACCACGUAUCUUAAAUCCCGAGGGUAUUCCAGUAAUUACAUCUGAAAACCCAGCUUCCGUGCGGGAAAAGGAAAUUAAUAAAGCCCAAGAAAUUCCUCUUUCGCUUAAAAGAAAUUAAUAAAUAAAAUUAAAUAAGAUAACUCCACGGGAGCGUGAAACCUACCGUGGUUCUUCUGGAGAGAUCGAGAGUGAUGCGGAAGCGUCUUCGCGAAGUAGCCCCUUUCUUCUUCCCAAUCUUAUUUCAUCCAUCGCCUCCAAGCUCUGAGCGGAGGAUCGAUUGAUAAAGGGGAAUAAAUCCGACUGAGAGAGAGAGGUGGGGAGCGCCCAAAGGGGAAGGAAUUGUUGGAGAAGAGAAACCCUAGGGAGUUGGUUUUGGUGAAAAGGGGGUCUGGGGUUUUGCGAUUUUCGUGUUUAAAAUUUUUUGGUGUUCUGGUGGCCGACUUGGAGUAGAAUUUGUGACCGGGGGCUGGGGUUAGGGUUUGUGGGUUGGUUGGGAGAUGGCUGGAUUUCUGUCGGGGAAGAUGAAGAGGAAGGAUCUGGAGGAAGUGUACGACGAUUUCUCGGAGUUCUCUCUGUCGUCACCGGCUAGAAAGAUUAGGAGACUGGUAAGAGAAUCUUUUUUCCUCGGAAAUUCACUCUUAGCUCCUCUUUUUAAGGAAAUUUUUACCAGAUUCUCCCCCUAAUUAUUCAGUCUCUCUACAAAAUAAGUGGAAUUUUUGCAAUGGUUUUUCCACCAUUGUGCUCAAUUUCGGGAGGUCCUACCUUUUUUUUUCUUUUUUUUUAACAAUUUAAGAAUUUUUGGUGGUUUAUUGGAUGAAAAUAGUGGACCUUUGGACGAUUUUGGUCGUUCAAGGGAUGGAAAAUGUUGAUUUUGGGAGGCGUAGGUUACCGACUCAAAAGGAAAACUUAAUUUUGGCCGUCACCCAUUUAAUAAGUGAUAAUCUUGACUCCAAGAUUCUUCUCCCGUUUUGUUCCCUAUUUUUUUUCUAAAUCUGAAUAGUUUUUUUUCGUUCGAAGAACAUCAACUUUAAUCUCAAGUAAGGAUACAUUCCUAGUUGUGUUCUUGUUCAGAUUUUUGUUUCUUCCUGGCUGUCACACAAAUUUGGGAGUAGAGAAGUUAAUUUAUGCUGGGCAGCUAUUAGUUGUUGUUGUUUCCUUUUUUUUUUGAAAAAAAAAAAAAACCCUGUUUGUUUGUCCUGCUCAUGGAAGGCCAGCUAUUAGCUGGUCUCUUUUAUAUCUUUGUUCAUUUGUUUAUUUUUUCUUUUCUUCCUCUGCUAAGGAUGCGGAGCUACCUCCGAUCAUGGAAGAGGAGGACUCGGCAGUUCCAGUGGCGUUCGAAUUCGAAAAACAGCAGCUGCCAAGGGACCUAAUGAGUGCUAGCAGUACUAUGCCGGAAUCAACAUCCACUAUGACCGAUGCUGUGCCAGUUCCUGCUUUGAAUGAGGAGAGAGCUCUUGUUCUGUACAAGCCUGUGGACGCGCAGCUCCUCUUGUCACCAGCUCAGUCAAAUGUUUCCCUCAGACUGAGCUCGGACCUGAUUCAUGGUCUAAAGAGUAAGUACUCAGAAUAUCCUCUCUUGGAUUUCUUUUUUUUUUGUUUUGGGUUUCCUCCUGGAUGGCAAAUUAAUUUUUAACCCCAUGUCUAUAUCUUGUAUAUUGAGUUCUCAUUGCUAAAUUCCGUCUAAGAUGGGUUCAGAUUAUUGCUCCAGUACCUUUCAAAAGGUCUACUAUUAUGUGAUGUGGAACCAGUAGUUAUUUACUUAUUCAAAGAGACUUCCAAAAGAGCAGCUCUUUUUCUCAUGUCUUCAACCAUAGUGACUGCCUUAUUUUCCUUCCAAAUGAAAAUAACAAGAUAGAAUCGAAGUCACGAGGAGAGGUUAAAUCGUUUCUUCUGUAAAAUUAUAUACUUUGAAUAUGCAUUGAAGCUGUGAUCAGACAUUGAGCUUUGAUUUUGUUAGUGUAAGGGCUUUUAACUCUCCCUUGGACUUUCUCCAGAUCAGGCUUUCCGGUCAGGUAACCAGAUCCGAAUAGAAGACAAAUCAGCUGUGUCAAGCAACCGCUUAGCAGUGGUUCCCUGGGUGCCGAACCAGGGCUCUGUGGUCACUACUGGUUCCGGAGUCACUAAAGUGGAAAGCAAGGUGCCGCAGGAGCCAAUGGAGGCUGAACAGAUUGAGAGCGUGUCCAUGGAAGUAGAAGAAGAGAGAGACCAAGCAGAGCAAGCAAGCAUCGACGAAGGAGCGGGUGGUGAAGGAUUCCAUCAGUGGCCGCAGCACUGCAUGACUCAGCUUCCACCUAACACAUCCACACCUAUAAUGUGGUCCUGGUGAUGAACGGCAGCAGAGUGCAUGACCGUGCCUUCUUUUGGCAAUGGACGUUCCGGUUCUUCACGGAGAAUCAGAGAUGGUACUGGUAUUUUGAUUGCUUUCCUUGCUUCACUUUCAUCAAUUGGCGACGUAUUCCAGCAGAACUGAAGGAUUAGUUUAGAAGUCGAGGAAUCGAUGAGAAGGCCCUUUUGUACAUGCGUCUAGUUUCCUGGUGUAGAAUGGAAUAUUCUCUUUUUGGUCAUUCCUUGUCUUUGAAAUGAAAAACAUGUAUCAGUCGGUCGUACCCUCCCCAAUCUCGCCUCUUUUUCUUUUUUUUUCCCCUUCCCUCUCUUUUAUGGUACAGCCCAUUUUCAGGUUUCACGCGAGCAGGUUUGUGCUUGUGAAAGCUGAUGCUUAUCUGAUGAUCAAGUGAAGUGGCAACUCAUGUUUAUUGCGUGUUAUAAACAUGAUACCGUCAGGGCGCGAUGCAGGAUUUAAUUUGUAGGCGGCAGUCUCGAGCAUUGAAUUAUCAAAUUUUAUAAAUAAAAUAAUUUUGAUAUAUAAUAAAUAUAUAUACAUAUUUUAUGUUGUAUUUGAAUAUUUUUUUUUAAAAAAUAUAGUCAUUAAUUAAAUGUUUUUUGUAGUGACUAACACAUUGUUUUUCCCCAAGAAAGAAGAUACCUUGGGAGAUUCAACCAUGUGCUAUUUUCUAAUAAAAGAAAUACUCUUUAAAAUAGGUGUUUCUUCUAAUUUUUAGAAUCGAAAAGGAAAAAAGCUACAAUACAAAAUGUAUGGAAAAGGGUUAAGUGAGUAAAUCAGCAUUUUUUUUAUAUUUAAUUUUAGUAUUUAUGAUUUUUUUCCUUUUAUGCUAACAGAGAAGUUCCAUUCUUUUUUUUUUUUUUUGGGUAGAAAAGUUCCAUUCUAUUUUACUUCACAUGUUUGAGAGAAGGGAUAAAGUAAUGUGGCCAAAGCGAUUUAUGAGCUAGAAAUUUACGACAUGGAGUAUGUAGUGCUGCUCAAAACAGAAAAAAGGUUAAAAAGCCUAAAUAACAAAAUACGUGCUGUUUCUAUAGUGCUAUGGAUAUGCAUAUUCUACAAAAAUCCUAUAACAAAUUGUAAUUUAAAAAUAAUAGAAUAUUUAACAUGUGUAUACUAGAGUUUGUGGAUGGAGGAAAGGUCGAUGAAAUAAAAUUGUAAAAAAAGUGAAAAGACUAAAUAAAUAAAGAAGAAGAAGAAAAAACCUCCUUGCUGGACCCUGGUUCGUGCUAAAGAUGUACGUAAAAUUUUUUAUUUUAUUAUUUUCCUUUGAAAGCUUGAGUGCGCUCUCUCUCUCUCUCUCUCUCUAUAUUCUCUUUUCCUUCAAUCAUUUCCUAUAUUUAUUAUUUCUCUUUUUUUGGUAAAAUAUUAUUUCUAUUUCAAAGCAAGAGUGCUCUCCCCCUCUCUCUGACUUUAUUCUCUUUUCCUUCAAGCAUUUCCAAUAUUGCUUAACAAAGAAAAGGUUUUCCAAAAUCAUAGGGGAAGGCAUCCCCAUCUAUGUGGUUGCUUGGUGAAUACAUGAGGAAAGAAUAAGUGAAAAUUCAGAUUAAGCAUUUUAAGAGGAAUAGAAAAAAAAAAAAGUUUCUAUCUACGGCUUCUAGAUUUAAUAUAACCAACUUAGCGAGGAAAGAUAUAGAAAUCAUGAAAUCAUUGAUUCACAUUCUUUCUAUAGCUAUUUCUUUGAAUUUACAAGAUUUCAGAUUGAUGAGUAUCGAUAAUAUGUGCUGAGGGAGCCAUGUAUAACAGUUGAACAGGGAGGCUAGGUCCAUAUAAAGUAAUUAGAAGUUUAAGUGAACCCUCUGUGUAUGGUAUAAAUUGAAUUCUCGAUAUGGGUGGGGGAGGGAUUGUGCUCCCACCAGCCCCUUAGAUUUGCUGCUGGGUAUAACUUGCGAGACUUGUUACUGUAUAUAAGAAAGCAGUUGAUUAUGAAAUUACCCAAUCAGUUUUUUUGUGCUUAAUUAAUUUUUUUGCGCACGUAUGGGAGCCCCCACACAUUUCUAUUUUCCUUUUGCCUGCUGUAUCUACUUGUGCAACGAGUUUAGAGAACCAGUAUAAUCAUUUUUAUUCCAGUUAUUUGUUCUACUCCUUUUGUUUUACAAUGAUGAAUCACUCGCUUUGACAAUGUAUAGUCAUUUAUUAUGAUUCAAAUAUAUAUUAUUUUGUUAAUGUCUUAUUCCAUGUAGGUUUAGAACUUUCUACUGUCAAUAUUAUUUGGUGUUGCCUCAAAGAGUUAGUGAAGGACUUACAUUUUCUCUUAUUACAAUCAAAUACAUAAUAUGGUAUAAACAGAUAUGUUGAAUGCAAUGACAUGGGCUGUCCUUGAAGUAUGCUUUACAUUAUAAAAUAGUUCAAAUGUUUACGAUUUUGUGUUCUUUGAUUUUUUUUAAUAUAAUUAUUUUAUUUCUUCUCUCAUUAUGGAAUGAGCCAUUCUUUUGUUAGUACCCUCACGGGCAUAAUCGCUAAUCACAUGAAAAUUGUUGUCUCAUUUGUUUAAUCUUCUGAAGGUAAUGUGCUCCCAAAAAUGUGUAUAAACAGAAAUCAUGUGCUUGUUUCUUCACGGCACCAAGCAUUUUAUGUUUCUCUUUAACUCAAUCCCAUUACUUGUGAGCAGCUUUAUCAGCUCCAUUCAAAAUUGAAUGGGAUUCUUUUCCGAGAGCCAUGCAUGCUAAAUAUGCUUAUCUUUUCAUUAUUAAAAAAAUAUACAUGAAAGAGUCAUUAAUUCUUGCUGAAAACUGAGAUUUAAAAUUUUCAAUGACAUUGUCAUCUUGCAAUGUUUAUUAACAUGGAUAAUAAAAGAGAGAAAAAGAAAAGCAUAGUGACAUAUUGAAGUUAAGACCACAAUGCUAAAGACAUUAUUGGUGCUGCGGUUGAAAAGUCGAAAAACUAAAUAUCUAUCUCUAUUGGUACUGCAGUAGGUACUACUACGAACACCACCUUAGUUCAAGGAAAGUAAGCAUCCAACCAUGGGUUAUUAUGAUCUAUGUAGGGUUGCACGACUUCAUUUCCACAAAUCAUUAGGUCAUGUGGAUUCAUUAUUUCAGUGAACCAUUCUUGCCUCUGAAGUUCCUCCAUGGCAACCUCCAAAGAUAUUUUUUCUUUGAUAUUUGAUGGCCCUUCGACUUUCUUCUUCUCCUCUUUCAUCCCCUCCACCAUCUUUGAUGCGAUCUCUCCUUUUGAAUGCUCUAUCCUCUCUUGUACUUUAUUUACCUUCAUCUCAAUAAGCCAUGCGAGGCUUGUCAUAUCUUCAAUAGUCACGGUGUGUAAGCUCCUCCCUGCCAAGCCUUGAUACAUCAAUAGGAUUGUCUCGAGCUCUCUGUUCUCUCUAUCUUGCUUCCUGAGUUGUUCUUGUAGCUUCAUGAUCCUCUGACGCAUGAAGCCUUCUUGGUUCAUCAUUUUUUUGCUUUGCUCCAUCUCGGGCAUUUUCUUUAGCUUUGUAAGCACACGCAUAGCAUCUGGCACUGAUGGCCAUACCUCCGCUUCUGGUUCAUUUGGCCCAUAGACAAUCAAACAUGCUUUGACAUCACAUAAAGUGCUCAAUUCACUUACCUUCUUCAUCAAACCCUUCUUUCUCUUCUUAAAUGUAGCUCUCCUAGCUGAAUCAUUGACAAUCCACUCAAGCUUCACCUUCUUUCGAGCCAUGAGUACGAAGAGAGAUCAAAAUUUGGCUAAAAGCAACAAGGAAUGAGGCAACAUCUUCACUCACCUUGCUUUUAUAUUGAUAUACAUAGGAGGAGAGUAUUAUUUGGAUGCACAAGAGAGAUUCGGACACUUAAGAGUGGCAUGAUGGAUUUGAUGGCAUUUUAUUAUGAUUUUGAUGAAUCAAUUUUUAUGCUCAGGCAAGAAAUCUCAAUAGUGAUUUGAAGAUUAUUAAUCCAUUAGGAUAGACUAGACCAUUUGAUCUAUGACAACCAAUUAGGCUUUAACAAUAAAUAUACUAUAGAUGUUUCUUUGUUGCCCAUGGCUGUAUGCAUUUACUUUUAGCCAUGUGAUGGCAAAUAAUUUAUGAAUAUUUUGAUAUUGUAAGCCAAUUUGGUCUCCGUCAUAAAUAAUUGCUAUUUAAGAUUUGCUAUUCCUCUUCCUCCUCUUCUUCUUUUUUUACAUUUAUUUAUUUAUUUUUGAGUUGGGGGGGGGGGGGCGCGAUGUUGUUUUGGCUUUUCGAUCCUCAUGUGAGCUUGAAAAAAAAAUGAUGGCAUGCCACUUCUCCUUCUAAAGUUUCAUAUAGAUAUUGAUCGUAAAGAACUCAUCAAGUGAUCAAUCUUGACAUCAAGUUUACCUUGUUUAUUGAUCUCUAUCAAAAGGCAUCUAUCUCCAUGUUGCAAUCUUGCUCAUGUAUUUUUCCUUUCAAUUUCUUGUUGAAUUUGAUCAGUUCAAGAAAAUAUCAAAAUUGUGAUGAUUGAUGGAUGUAGAUUGUGGCAUUGCCUAGAAAUAAAAAAUACUAUUAAAUUUUGUAGGACUAUGAUAUUAUCUCUCACCUUAGUGGAUAACUGACAUAUUUGUUUUGUUAUUAUAUAUUUUUAUAGCUUGUUCAAUGAUAUAUAAUAAUCUAAUCUUUGAUGAUUUGAUAUCUAGAUAAGAUCAACAAUAAUAAAUUCUUUUUAUAUAGCUGGAAGAAUUGAUAUCAUGAUCACAGCAUAUUUAAAAUAAACUAAUAUCCUUUCCUUUGUUUGGGAAAAGAAUCUAUAAUCUAAUCAAUGUCACAUAUUGCAUUAAAUUAUUUUUAAUUAUUUUUUGAUUUUUUCAAAAAAUAAAGAAUACAAUUUCCAUUUCUAUUCCACCUUAGAAAAAAUUCGCAUUUACUGAAAAAUAAUUUUCCUUUAUUGUUGUUGUCUUAGCCAUCAGCUAGCUAUAUGUAUGUAUGCACAACAACAAGAAAAAAAUGUACACAUGCAUGCACACCGACGCUUCUAUAAAUUUUGAUAUUGUUACAUUUAUCUUUAAUUUUAUUAGUAUUUAUUUUACAAUUUAUACGAAACAUUUCAAAUCAAUAAGGUGGCUAUGCACCCAUAAAAAUUAAAUUAACAAACUAUGUGACUUCAUCUUUAGUUUAGACAUUAUAAAAAAACUAACUAGAUCUAUAAUACCUAAGUAAUAAAAAAACAGCAUGAAAAUAUAGAUAAAAAAUAUGAGUGAUUUCCUUGUGUUCCAUUGUGGAUAUUUUAUUAUUGUUUUUCUCUUUGUUGCGGUAUAGAAGUAUAAGGUACUAAAAGCUUUAUUUUAUUGGAAUUAAUUGUCCACCAUGCUAAUAAUCAAAGAAGAUACAUAGAAGUUUCUUUUUUUUUCCAGGAAUGCCAAACCUUGCAUAGUCUUUUGUUCAUUCUCUUGCAAUAUGUGCACUGCGUGAAGUGAUACAUAAUUUUGUUUAAAUUGAUGACCCACUUGAUUAAAGCCCCCAAAAGUUUACCAAGGAGAGAACCAAUAUGUGAUCUUUAAUAGAAAUAAGUAUUUUGUUUUUUAUCUUCCUUAUUAUUUCAUUGAUAUUAUAUAUAAUUUUUUUUAUUAUUAUUACAAAUAAAGCUAGUACUCUCAAUAUUAAUUGCAAAGAUUUUGUUAUAGUACUUGUUUAUAAUAUUUUAUUAUAAAAAAUAUUUAAGAUAUUAUCGUAUUAUUAUAUUUUUUAAUAUCUUAUUAUUUUUUUCACAAUCGAGUAUCUUGAUAUGGUCGGAUCCGAUGUAUGUUGGUUGAAAUAAUUGCAUGUGACUUAUUGUACAAAAGGGUAUAUUUGGUAUGUAUGUUUUAUGAAUCAUGGUAUCUUUUGACAUUGAAUCUAUAUGGAUAGCAGCCAUUGUUAAUUUCUCAUUUAUUAUGAUUAUAUUGAUGUUGGUGUGUGGAAAUUUUUAUUGGACUAUAAAGUUUUUCAUGAUAAUUUUUUUUUUUAAUUUUUUAGAGUUAGAAUAUAUAUAUAUUUGGCCAUGGUUGGGAUCACGAUUAGAAAGAUUGAUUAGAUAGAGCAUCAUCAAUACUAAUCGAAUAUCAAAUUUGCUAAAUUAUGUAAGGUUUAAUAUUUGUUAAUGCAGAAUAUUUGUUAUAAGUUAAGAUCAAUAAUAUUCAUAGAAUUUUGAGACUGUAAGAAAUUUUACAAGUCUUACAUAUUCUUUAGGGUUUAUCUUAAAGUGUGCGGCCAUCGCAUACUCGAUUUGAAUGCUGGGUUCGAAGCAUUAAAGAGUAGUAAUUUAAAAUUUUAUUUUUUUUGUAAGACUCGAUGCAUGUGAUUACUAAAAUUCAUCCAAAUAACAUGUAAUACAUAAUAUCGAAUAAGUCACAAACCCUUCUUCCCUGUAACUUUCUCUGAUGCUACACAUCGCUCGCUUCCUCCUCCUCCGCCCACCUCUCCAUCGUCCGGAUUCGUCAUUGCACGCCACCCCCCCUUUCUCCUCCUUCUCUACCCAUCUCUCCUCUUUCUCCUCCUCCUCUACCCAUCUCUCUGUUGUUUACCUUCUCGCCUUCGUACGCCAUCCUUUUCCUGCUCCUCCUCUAUCACCCUCGACAAAGACCGAAGCUCCCUCCUCUUCCCUCCUUAUGGUGGUGCAAACCUCUGUGGUGGUGUGAACAUGACCCGCCUCACCCCCCCUCCACUCAACAAUCAAAAAAAAUAAAAAAUUCCCUCCCUUUUCUCUUCCUCCAUGAAUGAUAAUGACCUAACUACCUCCUCUUCCUUCACUGUCCUCGACAUACUCCCCAUCUUUCCUCCUCCACUCUCAACAAAGAGUCUUCCCCCAACUUCUCCUCGGACCUCUCCCAACUCCACCACCACUUCCAUCGAGAAAUCAUGAUUUGGAAGAGGAGAAGUGGGAUGAAGAUUUUCGAUAGAAAAAAAAAUGAUAUUUAAUUUGAUCAUUUUAAUGUUCAAAAUUUUGAUAUUUAAAAUAUUUAUUGCAUCACUUCGGUUGUUAAUAAAGAUAUCUAGGUUGUUAAUAAAGAUAUCUAAGUCAUCCAUCGCUGAUCCGACGGCCAAACAUAGAUUAACUAUAAAAAUAUUAAACUAUCUUUUGGGCCACCGGCGAAAAACCCCAGCUGCUGACAGCUUGCUAGGUUAGCCCUUCGCUCUCUAUUUCUAUAGUUAAAUUAAUCAAAAAUAAUAAUAUUAUUUUAUUCCUAAUUACUCUCUACCAGGUUUACAAACCAGAAAAACCGUUUUUCUCUAGUCAUCCAAGCUCACCCUCUGCUUCGCCGGCGACGGCCCCGCCCUCCACGGCGGCUAGCACGUCGUCGUCGCGAUAAUGUCGGAACAUCUUGGCGAUGAGUGCUUCGGCCAAUCCGUCCGCUACGUCCGUCCCGACCUCUCCUGUCCCUCUCUAGUCCCUCCAGGGUCCACCAUUCUAAGAAGACCACCUUCUGCCCCACCUCCGGCGCCGCAGUUGGCGCCAACCCCGCAACCCCGCUCUCCACCUCCCUCCUGCUCCUCCGUCGAGAAAAUCGUCGGUUAAAAUCUUUGACAUGUUUUCGUAUUUUAAGCAAACCACCAAGCCCUCCUCUUUCCGGCGAGCUUGGCGACGGUUACCGGCGGCAGCUUGGUCCCAGUGUGGAGACUCGAUGAUGAACAAAUGCCAUCUUUCCGUUUCUCCGUUGAUGCUUUGAUUUGUGAGACCGAUGUCAGUUUAGGUUGUGCUCUGUUUUGGACUCAGCUUUGGAUUUUUUCGCAAGUGGACGAACUAGCGAACGAGAACCAUCACAAGAUCGGCUCUGCGGGGAGCAAGCAGAAGAAAGCGAUGGUGAUGUUUCAAUCUUUGCUGGUUUUUUGGGGCUAAAGACGGGAUUUUCUUACGAUGGGGUUUGAUCUGGAGAGAGGGGUUUGGAGGUGGGUGGGGCCAAUGAUACGGCUUGGGAAUGAAGACAAUGGUCCGCCAUGGCUGAAGCUUCUUCCGAAGACACCCUUCUGCAUUCCGUACGGUGUUCAGGGCGAUUACGGCGAGAGGGAAUGCGAUAUGUACCGCUUGGAUUGGAUGGGUUCCGGUUGUAUCCUUCGCGCCAAAAAAUAAUUCACCGCCUCUCGCGAUGUCAACCGUUUCUCAUUUCGAGAACCGAAAGAUAUCGAGUGCUUUGCGAUCUUUGCAAUGAUAGAUCCAACGGUCGACCUCACGAUAGAACAUCAAUCAUUCUUUCGCGCUAAAGAUAAAACCCGGCUUCUGCUUGGUUCGCUCGGAAGUAUAUAAUGGCAGGCUCCUGGAAAUGUGGCAUCGUGGAUUCGGACCAGCAUCCGGUCACCGUCCGGCCGCUUGUUUCACGUCCCCAACCCCGCCAUCAAUGCCUGGCGCUCGCUUUCAUCUCCUUUCUCGUGUCGCGAUAUCCCGAGAUUUUCCGACUCAGCUAUCUGCUCCGCACCACCAGACGCGCUUUCCAUCCAACGUGUCGGUCAGCGUAACCUGGUCCCCACGCCUUCAGGACAGGCGAUCCCGGUUCUUUCCUUCGUCAUCGGGAGAACAAUAAAUGCGGAGGUUAAAUAGAAACACCAUACAUCCUCCCAUGUGGAGAAGUGGGGCGGAGCACCGGAACACCUCCGUAUCCUCCAAAAGGAUACGUCCUCUCACCGUCCCCGAGGGGUAUAGAUAGGGAAGGGCGGGGCGGGAGAGAUUGCUUCUCUCUCCUCGUCGGAUCUCGGGGCGAGCGAUACAUCUCCAAGAUCCACCCGCUCGGAUACUUUGUAUCGCCGGUCUGCCUGUCCAUUUGACCGCCGGCGCUUUUUGCUUCGAAACCGGUGCGAGAAUCGAUCGCCACGGAGACCCGCGGUGGUGCGUUUGAUUUUCACGUCUUUCUGCAUUAUUUCUUGCAUUCACUUGCAUUAUGUCUCAUAGUCCGCGAUCGGAUGGGUUGUUGGGGGUUUUGGUUCCUGCGUCGUACGUCGUGUUGGUUCUAGCAGUGGAGUUCGGACUUCUUUAGGAAGAUUUGACCUUCCCUUUAGUUGCCUUUGGGAAUUAGGUCUUACUUUUGUCCGCCGAAGAAUAUUCUUGCUGGAUCUAGCUGCCUUUGGGAUUUAUAUGCAGCUAAAAGUUUAUAUCUUUCUCUUUUUUCCUAGGUGAUUUGUUCAUUUAUUUUUCUGAUUUCUUUUUUUCAUCCAUGAAUUGAACGCAUUUGCCAUAUAAAAGGAAACAAUAUGAUCGCAGCAGUUUCAACUUAUUUCUUAUAAAAGGGCUUGAUGUUCUAAUCCUUGUGCUUUUCUGUUUUAGGGUGGUUGAUGACGGGACAGCAGUCUUGAUUGCGAUUUCUGUGUAAAGAUAGUAUCUUUGAUCAUCCAGAGGCACUUUUCAAGAUUUUUUUUUCGUUUUAUUUCUUCUUGCUGUGGAUAUUUGUCCAUUUUCAGCCUCUGCUUUCAACAAUCCUUUAGCUGUCUAUUGAAAUGCGAUGCUUGCGAUAAUCUAAGCAUUAAAAAAUAUUACAAAGGGCGUCAAACUUUAAAGCUUAAGCAGAUAUAGUGCUAGAAAUUUUUGCAAGUAAUAAAAUAAGGAAAGACUAUAGAAGAUCAUGAAUUGUAUUAGGCAAGUAAUGGGAAGAAUUGAUAUGGUAUGGACAUUUCUUAUGAAGAUCAUCAUACCCUAA
rnacentral:lncRNA from 1 species